ensembl:lncRNA
CCGCUCCCUCUGCCCGCCCGCUCUCGCUCUCGCUCUCCCUCUCGCUGUGGUUUUUGUAAGGUAGGUUGCAGCGCGUGUGUGUGUACACAACAUCGAGAGCAGGAAAAUGGACUCAUUAGGGAGGCAGGCGGUCGGGAGCGCUCGCGCUGUAGUGCCGGGGAGACGGAGGCUAUGAGGAGGCAAACUGAGGACGGGGGAACAAGCAGCAUAAAGAAGAAGUGUUGAGAGCUGCUCUCAGCCCUUUUGGAGUCCGAAGUCAAAAGGGAACUAGGGGGCUUGACACAUCCCUUGCAUCUUCCAUUUACUCUGACCACAGUCCCUCCCUGUUCUCUCAAGUGGAGCUAAGCCCUGCUUCCCUCCCUCUUGAUUCCCAGACAGCUACAUGACUUCCCAUUCACUGAAGGCAGAGACAGCUACUACCUACAGUUCUGGGCUGUUUUGUAUCAUGGCUCAGGAGAUGACUGCCUGAAGUUACAUUGUAGAUGCUGAAAUCACUGCACCUUAAAAACAAAAAGAUUAAGCUGCACUGCAUUCUUGUAAGUAAAAGCUUUUCCGGUACCUUUUGUCAGUAUUUUUCCUCACUACACAUCCAAAGUGUUAGCACAGUAACUGCUCUUGGAUAAAGGUCAAAGUCCCCUUGAAUAGGAUUUAGAAGUUCAAAGGAUGUUUUAUUUAAAAAUUAGAACUAAACUUGAAUCUUUCAGAUCUUUAAUUUCAGACCCCUGAAUAGAUCUUUCUUUUUCGCUUUGAUUUGAUUAUUAUUAGGAAUAGUGUGUGUCUGUUGACGUACGGCUCCUGUGGCUUUGUCAGCAAGGAUUUCUGCACUUUGGAGUAGAAAUAAUAGAAAAUAGCAGAAGGUUCCUCAUAGCAUAAAAUACAGUUUGCUCUCUUUUUUUGUUGUCGUAAUAAAAUGUUGUCCCUUGUAUAAGAGAAAGAUGGAACGUCUUUCUAAUGACAUCACAGGAGGCUUCGGCUGCUUUAGGACAUGGAUGAAGGCAGAGAUGCCUUAUUCAUCUGUGCUGCGAUACAACAAAACAGUCAAAAUAAUGUCUUGUGUCUCUCAGUAAGAAAGCAGCCUCUUUCUAAGGGCUUAGUUAUUCCAUAAAUGCAAGGCACAUCGUACAUCUACCCUUAUUUAGAAUGUGUUCACUGAAUAUGUUUGGGUAAAUAAUUAAGAUUUGGAACUUCUGUGGGUGAAGAACAAGUGAGUAAAAGAGGACUUGGAAGUGCUGUAGAUUCAGAUACUCCAAAUAUAACAAAAUAAUAUAUGAGUAAAAAUCCAAGAGUUUGAAGAUAGAAAGAAUUGAUUUUUUAGUUUGACAGCACAAAGCUGUGGAGUAUGACAAAGCAAAGUCAGUUUGUUUUCUUCUUUGAGAUCAAAAUGUACAGUCUGUAAUGAAAUCCAGCGUCUCUUUCCAAAGUGAUUAUUUCGUACUUUCAGUAUUAAAAUAUUUUAACUAUUGUUUGUUGUUUUUUUUUUAACUCUCUGUCCCCCCAACUUUUUUUUCCUUCAAAUUGUGUUUUAACGAUUUAGUUUAAACUAGCUGAAGGGUACAGUACACUGUGGGCAGCUAAUGCAUGCCCCUUCCAGUGUGGAACACCAAGCAUGACUCAGGCAGGCAGAUUGUGCCAUGCUGGCUCAGCUCCAUUGUGUUUUUACAUUACUGGGAAGGGCCGUGCCAUUGUGUUGCUUAAAUAUUGUGCAUUAACUGCAGGCUGUGGCUAGUGAAUUGUAUUUAACAUUUUCUCCUCAUCAUGGCUGAAUAUCUGCCAUGAGCAGCUUCCCUGGCCAUGAGAGGUUAACCUUGCAAUUUGAGGGAUGACCUGAAGUGGUGAACUUGUUGGGUCCAGCAACAAUUCAAAGGGAGGUGUUAGGAGCAAGGGGGAAAGUUAGUGGACAUUUGUAAAUCUCAGAGUACUGAGUAUCAAAGUUGUCUGUCUUUUUUUUGUGUGUGUGUGUGAAUAACCAGGAGAAAUUUUAUUGGAAACCAAUAGUAAUUCUCUUUCCAUAAUGCAACAGCAGAGUGAGAACUGAAUUAAAGCAUGUUGUUUGAAUCCUUGGAAUCCAGAUAGUCAGUAAGUCCUGGAUGCAAAUGCCCUAAUGCAAAAUAUCAGGUAGCGAUAUAUGGACCUCAUGGAUGACACUGGAAUGGGCUUUUUCAGUGAAGGAAGAAAUGGGAAUCUAAGAGGAGGAAUAAGUACACAAGUGCAGAACUCACAUGCAGGAAAAUAAAAAAAAAAACAUGUAAAGGGUGGCAAGCAAAUCAAGGCAGAAAUACUGUAUAGCUUGCUCCAGAUAAGAGUAAAUCAAGGGCUGAACUGGAAAUGGAGCAGGGGAUCGUGACUCCAUCUCUUUUCUGUUCAAUUUUUCUUUAUGUUCCCCGAGGUAGAGAUCCAAGCAUCUAAUCUUUGAAUUUCUUGUUUCAUUUGUUUUAUUUCCCCAAUAAUACCCCAUCUGUAAACUCCUAGCUGCUCUUAAAUUGCGUAGCCCUGGCAUACGGCCUGUAAUAGAGACAAAUAAGUUGGGGGAACGUGUUAUGUAUGCAGAUGUAUACUGUAAAAUGAGACUGUGAUUCUUACUAUACCUUGUGUUCAUGUAACUAUAGGAGCACGCUUGUUAUAGACAAUAAUAUGCUUUAAGAAUUUAUUUUCUUUCAGAUGUGUGUUUACUGUAAUCAGGUGUCUCUAAGUCUGAGAUCUUUAAUGACGUAAACUUUCAAGUAUGACUUUCUUGUGUUAACCUGAAAACAGUAAAAAGAAAGAAAGCAAGCUAUGCUUUGCUAGUUUUCUGUUAGAGAUCAGGAUUGUUUUAGUUGAAGGGUGGAACCUUGUUUUAGGUAGAGAUAACCUUAAAAUAAGUCAUUAAUAGAAAAAGGGGCCAAAUUUUCAGCUGUUAUAAAAAUAUACUUGGCUUAAUAAAUGGUGCUACAGGAAAAUACAGAUUCACAACACGUGAACAUCUGGCAGGCAGCUGCUCAAGAACGCAGCCUUGAAAAUGUAGUGCAGGCAUGCUCUUAAUGGGAAAGGUCUGUGGGCUUGAUUCUUUUUAUGUUGGGUGGUCAGAUCAGCUUUGUACUAAAAUUAUGUGGAUUAAUAGGCAAGUAGAUCCACUGAGAACCAUGAGUCUACUCAAAUACUUAACUUUAAAGAUGUUCUUAAGUACUUCACUAUUUGCAAUUAGCCCAAAAUAGGAUUAAGUCCAGUAAGAGAAGUUAGUUACCUCUGCUGACGUUCAACAUGUAUUUGAUUUUAGAACUGGACAGUGGGGAAAGCACAUUUUCUGUGGAAGAAAAUAAAUUCUGUACUCACAACCUGAAGACUUAUACAAGAGAUGCACUGAAUGUGCUUUGAAAGUAAUGGUUUUAGUUACAGCUGUCUGACUCUAGGUGCCAUUGGCUGAGGCCAACAGGAACAUACAACACGUUAAAAAAAAAAAAAACAACGUUUUUUUCAAUUUCAAUCUUACAUGCCCUUGUGGUCUGAUUACUGACCAAGAGGUCUGGAGUUUGAAUUUUGGUUAAUGCUGGCCAAUUGAGUGGCUCUGGACAAAUCAUUUAACUUCUCUGCAUCUUGUUUAGCAGAUCAGUUUUUCAAUCUGGUUACAACUUCAAUACUGAUACAGCUCUGCGAACAUUUUUGAGUUUGUUUUUGCAAAGCUCUUAGAGGAAAAAUAGUAACCAUUGUUAUCAUUAAUAAGUGUACUUUGUAGACAAAACACGAGGGACAGAGAUACAGUCACUCACAGAGGUGAUCUUUCACAACUCACUUGUGCCUUUGUUUAAUUCCAUCACUCAAAGGUAUCAAGGCCAACUCCAAUUUAUAGAAGUAUUUCUCAUGUCACUCUCCCCACUGUUGAGUAUUUUAUUGUUUGUGUUCUCUCUCCAUCUGUUUUUUUGCUACUUUCCUCCAUGCUGAAUUAACCUUGCAUACCAAACCUUAUUCCCCCCCCCCCCCCUUUUUUUUUUGUAUUAUGCAGCAGAGACAUUCAUAUAGCCUCAAAAUUACAGAGAACAAAUUCAUUUUGUCUACUGAUUGUUUACUGAUGAUGUAUGGAACAGACAGAAGACAGUUUGAAUUUUCAUAAGUUCAAUUGAGCUUGCAGGCUUAAGGAAAGGAACAGGCAGAACCCAAGCCAAUGUGACACAGUAAGCUGGCAUCCCAGAGUGCAUGCAGCAUGUGCAGCGUCAGGAUGUCAAGGCUAUACAGGGCUUCGUCCGUCAAAGCAGUGCUUUUAAAUGAAGGAAGAAUUUUGAAGCAACAAACAAGCUACCCCACCAUGUUCUUCACAACACAGGGGUCCUCGUGUUUCCUGAUGGAUACGGGAUCUGUCCUUUCCUCCUAUACUUUGCUGUUUUAACUAGAAUUGUGUGUCUAAUGUGAGUGUUGUUGAGCCUUGCACAUUCCUAGUUGCUAUUCCUCUGACAGAAUUUGAACCCUGAAUAGUUCACUAAGACCUUUUUGGAUGCAGAAAUAGUAGCUGUGCUGGAGAAGACAUGUUUGAAUGUGAAAUACGUGUAUAAGUAUGCUUCUUUGAAGAAAUAUAAGUGUCUUGGGGCUGGCUGUCACUGAGGAAUUGUGUUAGCACUAACAAAGAGAAUUAAUUUUGCCUUUUCCCCCCUCCUAUACCAAGGCAUUAAUCCAGAAACUCAUGGGGAUAAAUUCUGCCCUGAUUUCUACCUGUGGAACCCCAGUGGAAACAGAGAGAGGUCAUAAAUGUUUGUCAAAGCAAAAAUUGUCCUAGUGUUAAAAUUUUGAGGAAGUAGAAACUGGUUGAUUGUUACCAGGGUCAGGGGUAUGAGGCUACAUAGAAGCUCUGCAUGGCAUCGUAUGCUUCCAAAAAUGUUCUUUUUAUUGUAUAUAUUAAGCAGAAAAAAAAAAAUCCAGUGAGUGAAAAGUUAUAACCAGGAGCACAGUGAUUAAUUGUUCUUAGUGUCCUCUGGGAGAAAGACCCGAAGAAAUCAGUUCAGUGAGCAGUGAAAAUUACCAAGGUACAUAUUAAGAACCAUGUUCUGCCUGUGUAGGCAGUAAAACCCUGGGACACACUACCUCUAGGUACUUUGGAAACAGGGGAAGUUUCUUUUUGAAGGAAUGGGUUGGAAAACUACCUCAGUAGUGUGCCGUAAGACGGGGCGAGAUGAGUUUUGUUAUUCUCUUGCAUUUCUCUGAUUCAGCAUACCAUUUGGAAAUGUUGGUAUGUGGCUAGUACAUUCCUGAUUAAUAAAGCUUAAUGUUCCCAAAAGAUCCCUAGGGUUCUCAUUUUUCCAUCCUCUCAUAACUAAAACCGUACUGUCUCUUCAAAGAUUUCAGUGGGCUGCCAGUGUUCUGUUCUGACCCUUCUUUAUUUUAAGAGAAAAGACAGGGGAGGGUAUCAUACACACGCCAAAGGACAGAUGUUUGGUUGUUGUGCAUCUGUAUGGUUUCUUGACAGGCAGUGUAUUAAUCCUGAUUAGAUUCAGUUCCUGUUUUUGAAAAUUUGGAUGAAUUGAAACAGUCCAGGUAUAGUCUGGUACAAAGGCCCAUGACAAAGAUUAUGGAGAUAGUUUAAAGGUGCAAGUAUGUAAUGGGACUGGAGUAAAGCUUUGUGCAAAAAGCAGUUUCUCAGGAGAUAAUGAGCUUUCAGUUUUCUGAAUUUUCAUGCAAACAUUCUUGAAAAAUAUUUUCACUUUAUGAAACUGCCAACCUCAGAGUGCAGUUGGCCAGCCUGAUAACAUUUCUAGUUCUCAGGUUGGUUUUAAUCAGUCCUGUUCACAAUGUAGCGUAGAGAAGAGUUGGGAAUGAUUGUCAGUCAAGUCUAUCACCUUUUUUGUUGUUAUUUUGCAAAAACACUGGGGUCGUGCUUUUUCUAGUUCUGUAUGUUGAGACCAUCAAUUGUAGUGUACAGAAGAAUAGAACUCUGACUUUUAUUGCAUGUGGCAGCUCUUGGUUUUGCAGAAUAGUGGCCACAAUAGAUAAAGAUAGGAAAAUGGCUUUCUAAUGUGUGGUUGUUUUGGUAUAUAAAGGAGUAUGGUUGUGAGUUACUCAUAUUAAAAAGACAUGGGAAUAUCAGCACUGAUUCCCUGAGUAGCACUACUGGAGUAAGUUGUAAAACACUUCAGUAUUUCAGUACCUGAAGAUGUAGGAGUGGAAAAUCUCUAACUCCAUUUAUCGAAGAACUUGCUGAUAUAACUUCAAGACAAAGGAGAGACCACAGAUCAUUGAGCACAUAUCAAGAUUAUAAAGACACUAUUAUAAAUAUUAUAAAGACCAAAGAUAAAAAGAGCAACACAGGCCUGGCCUUUUCUGGUUCCUGGUACUCUUAUUUUCUUCUAUCCAAAAUGAGAUUCUUCAGCUAAAUCAGUAUAUAACGGGAGGAACUCCACAGAAAAGCAUUGUGGUUAUUCCAUAUUUACAUCAGUGCCCUUGGGGAGACUCUCACUGAAUCAUUUUAAAUUCCAGCAUCUGAUGUAGGACAGUCUGAUGAAUGUAAGAUACCAAAAAAUUCUGAUCUGUUUUCUUCAUUAGUGUAAGUGGUCUAGCUCUGAAUUUUACGAUCGAGUAUCUAGUUCUUCUUAUUGCCCUCUUUCCCGUCAUUGCCCCUGCAUCUAAAUAAUAGAUUAGAACAGAUUUUAAUUUCAGUUGUGUCAAAAUUGAUCUAUUGUUUUCAACAGUUUCCACUGGCACAGAAGAGAUCAGAAUAUUUUUAAUUUAUUAUUUUAUUUAUUUAAAUAAAUCAUCUGCAGAACUGCACUGCUAACAUGUUCAUUGCUUUGGUGCCAAUGCAUGCUCUGGAGGGUCUGCAAAAUUCUGACAGGACGUGCUGUGAUUCCAUAUGUGUUUUAGCAGUUCUGUGUUUCCUCAUGACAAAAGAAUCAUUUGUUUUGUGCAUGUGAUCAUCCUAUAGCAUUCUGGUGAUUAUGUGACUUAAAAGGACCUAGUUCUUGCUCCCUCCCUGUUCUUUUUGUACCUCUCUCCUUCAGAAGCAUUCAGGAGAUGGCAGCAAGAUAGCCAGGUUGUAGGUAACAAGCAUGUGACAGGGAAAUCUAUGCUUUUAAAGGCCAUUGGAAAAAUAUCUGGUUUCACAAUAUGCUUGUGUUAGUAAUACUGAUGGCAUCUCUGAGUCAAAGAUACGUUUAUGAACCCACUGGUUUCCUUGGCAGUUGGUUUUGGUUGGUUUUUGUUGUUGGUUUUUUUUUUUUUUUUUUGAGUCUUCUUCAUAGUGUUUCUAAAGAAUUUAUUUCAGCUUAUGUGCUGUUAACAUGGGAAUUUUGGAUAAUGAAAAUAUUUAGUAAAGUGGAAGACUUACUUCACCUCCUUUAAGACUGGUAAUAAGUGAUAAGAGUCCCGUGACUCUUAAGAGAAGAAAUUUUUCAUGGAAUUGCAUGUGUAUUUCCCAGGAUGACUGGAUUUGUGCAAGCAGAUCACUGCAUAUCCUCUCUCAAUAUGAACCAGUUUAGAUAUUGAAGUCCCAGUUUAUGUUGGCUAUAGUGACACAGUCCCCAUGAAUGGAGGGUGCAAGAUCAGACCUCCAGUAGGAAAAUCUGCCAAACACCGUUGUCAGAGCCUGAGCCAGAGACAGAUGAACUCUUGUCUCUUCUCAGUUUCCUUUUCCUUUCAGUAAGUUUUUCUAGUGUGCAAGACAGCAUGUUUUGUCAUGUCUCUUACCAUGUUUUAAUACACAUCUAACUGUUAUGUAUGAACAACUUUCCAGAACAAAUGGUACUAGAUUCUUGAAGCAAACAACUAUAACAUGAUUACUGUUUGGGAAGACUUAAAUGUGCAAAUGACAUCUGUUGUCUAGAUGUAUUCAUCAACUAGAGGGAAUUUCUAAUGGACAACAUCACACAAACCUGAGGAAUGCAGAGAGAGGACGCUGAGGAGCCAAGAAAUCAAGUGAUCAAGAGGGUUUGGAUUUACAUUAAUGUGUCAUCCUGAUGGAAAAUACAACUUGAUUAGAAAUGAGAAAUCCUUGACUCAACAGGUAGGGCUCCUGCCCAUACUGAUUUACGCUCACAAAUGGCACUGGAAUGUGCUGUUGAAUUUGUUAUGGUGCUUCAUGGCUAUAUGAUACUGACCCCAAGAAUGAUGCUAUUUACUCUUUCUUCUUGUGGUGCAACUUGGCAUGUUAGUAAUUCUUGGCCUUUCUUUUCCUUGUGUGCACAGUUAAGGAAAUACUGUUCUACAUGGCUACCUCUGCCCUUACUCUGAUCAUGCUUGCAAUUCAAGAAGAUGUUUGUUUGCUAUUAUAUACAGGUCUACCAUAGGAUCUUUAAAGCUAGCUGUAGUAAUGUUUAGAUGCUUGGCUCUAAGGGGAUUUGAAAGCUCAGAGGUAGCAUCUUUGUCUAGUGCUUGGGAAGUGCUGAGGGCAAAGGGAAGAACUGCUGGGUGGAGUGCUGCUUAGAGGAUAAAGCUUGGUGAUCUUUCCAUGGGUGCAGUUUCUUACCAGCAAUUAUACUGAAACAGGAAGGAUCUUGUCCUCGUUUCAAUCCUUGGUGUCCUGGAGAAUUUCAGAUGUGUUAGGUAAAUUUUACUCUAUGAAAUUAUCAGCUGUUAAAACACAUUUUACAUCUCCAAUCCUUUCAGUAGCGGGAGAAAGACAUAGAUUUCCCCUGGCUUCUGAUAGUGGAAAACAUUUCUGAUGUCCCCGCAUUGUCAGACUGUCAGGGGCACCGCUAUGUGAUUAUCGUUAUUGUGAUUUAAUUACAUUUAAAAGCAUUUACUUUCUAAAAAUCUUUUACACUCUCUCUGUCAUAAUGUUUAGAAUGUAUCUAUACCAUACAGUAGUUAUUCUUUAAGGCUUCUUAUGCCUAGAAAAUCUUGUAAAAGAAAUAUUCUGUGCAGUAAAGUAGACAUUAUUUAAUGCUGAACUAAUAUUUCGAGCUGCAUUGUGAUUACACAUGGAGGCAUUUGUGGAAGUCUAGAAGGUAUGAUGGACUUUUUCUCCUGACUUUUCCCUGAUGAGAUUGUAGGGAUCACAAAUAUCUGUCUUGCAAUACACUGAGUUUUGCUGCCAUGGCUCCUUGACCUUUAUCCCACUGUCUAAAUGGGGUAGGACUUUACCUGUAACUCAGUCCCUACUGCUACCCAGAGACCGUGGUAGGUGAGUGAAAUCUGGGGUGGCACCCCAUGUGAAACCUGAGAAGUUAUGCAAGCACGAAAUCUUAAGAACUCUGCACACCAUUUCUUUAGUGAGUACAAACAUUUUCAGAUCUCUGGUCUUACAGAUGAAGUAAAACCCUCACCCCAGUAAAGUUGGGAUUUUUCUAGAUUCCUUUCAGCAUAGCCAGGUUACAUUGCAAAUGUAUGUGCUUGAGCUGCCCAACUCCAUAGGGUAGGUUCUGGUAAGCCUCAUGCGUUGCACGCACAGAUUUUCCCACCUCUCCAGCCAUGCUGCCUGGAUGGACAGGUGCUUACUCUGCUGUGUUGUUGGCCUUGAGAUAAAGGAGAAAAUGCAGAUAUUUACCUAGUUGAUGCAGAGAAAGAGUUCACAGCAGAAAAAUAUGUGAUGCCUUCUUUAGAAAUAAGUUGGGUUGUUGGUUUUUUUUUUUUUGGUGUUGUUUUUUUGUUGUUUUGGAAACGAGUAUAUUUAGAUGUUGUUUAAUAAUAAAAGAAACAUAAAAAUUGUCAUAUACAUGUUUUAGCCCAGUAGUGGUCAAAUGAAGGUUUGUUUUAUUUUUAAUGUCAUAAUUUUACAUUGUUUGGAAUUCUUUUGUGAAGGUUCCUAAGACUAUAUCGGUUAGAAAUUAUUCCCCUUUCUCACCUUAUCCAUCUUUAUUAUCUAAUGAAACAGUUUUCUUCUGUGGAGCUGAGGAGCAACUGGCAAAUUCCAUGCGUAGUUCAGACAAACUGGUCCUCUGCGAGGCUGGGCUGUGCUCCCACUUGUGAUGAAACCAGGUGUAAAAUCCCAGUCCCUGCCUCAGUCUGUUUUUUCUGCUCCUCUUAGCACUGAUCUGCAAAUGGAGACUCCCGUGCUGAUAAUUUCAGUGUGGAGUUUUCAAAACUGAGUGAGUGUGUGCUGGCCUGUCUUUGUUUAAAUUUAGAAGAAUUGACGGAGCUCAUUCCUAGAGUCUGUAAUCCCAGUCUUCAUGCUUAAAACUAGCUCAAGCAUUCUGUGUAUUUGCAAGUCUAGUGCUAAUUUGUGUGCUUCUACUGACAAUAAAGAUGGAUGGUUUCUAUUGUCCUUUCAGUAGGGCCUCUCAUUACUUCAGUGGGAUUUUUGCUAUUGGUCCAUUUCUGUGUUUUUGUCCAGUUCACUACUAUCUCUUCAAUGUUAAGCUUCUUCCAUAGUUCAUUCCUUACUGGCCACUUCCUGAAGAACUUUAGGUUAUGGUAGGACUGCAGUUGGACAGAAAGCAAUAAACUGUAAGAAGCUAAACAGAAAAUGUUAAUGCAAAUCUUACCUAGUGCAAAUUACAGGGACUGCUGUUGCACACAGCUUCCUCUACUGCUGGGCUAACCAUCACUGAUAGUUUGCUAGUCCAGGCUAAAAUGAGCCCUUCGCUGCCCUGUAGAUCUCUACCAGAAGAGAAGAAAACAAAUUGUGUCCUCUUGCCUCUCUGCUCUCCCUACUUCAUAACUACAACCCCAACUAUCUUGUCAAAGAGAAGUUUUUUUUGUUUUUUUUUUUGUCUGGGAAAAGGGUAACAUAUCACUACAAUAUCUUCCGAACAUAUCUCUUUCCUGAGGAUUUGGUAUAGCACGGAAGGUCAUGUUUUACCUUCAGGCCCUGUACAAAUAGAAGUAGCUUGCACAGUGAGAUAGCAAGAUGUGAAAUUAAAGAGGGGCAAAUGUACAUUUACUUUAUAUAUAGUCACUUUAUUCAGGCAUAUUGUUUUUCUUUGGACUGUAAAAAUAAAAGUUGUAUCAAUUUAAAAUUUGUGAAGAGAAAAUCAGAGGUUUUGUUUGUUUGUUUUGUUUUCUAUCUAUUGUGUGGUCUUGUUAUUUUUUGCUUAAUUUCAUUACCUACAAAUAGUAGUGAUGCAUGACACUGCAUGGUAAUCUGUUUCUUGGACUGGAAGGGGCACGAGUUUAAGAAAGGUAAAGGUUCAGUGGGUACUAAAGUAAUGCUUAGUGGCUGUGCUUCAGUGAUACAGAACAGUCUUUCUACAGGGACAAGUAAUAAUGCAAAUACAAAAAUAUAGAACAAUAUGAAGGCUUACAUCGAAACCUUGAUGGAUUCAUUUCUGACUUCUCAAUUCUGUGGAAAAGCUCAGUGUUGCUUCUUUUUGAAUUCUGACUUCGAAAGGAAAUGAGAAGUCAAACUUUCUGAUUUUACUUGUAUCUCUAAAAUGCAACAAAAGGCUCAUUAGCUUACUAGCAGAAGGAAAGGAAUGUCCAAACUUUAAACCUCCAGGCUCAUUAAAAAAAAAAAAAAGAAAAAAAAAGAAAAGAAAAUAUCUGGGAUCUGUUGCAUGUUUAAAUGCUGUAAGUAUGAAUUUUGCCAUGCUACAAGCUGCAUCUCUCUCUGGUUUUCCGACAAUGUUUUUGUAUCCAGGUACAUCUGAUUUUCUGUAUUCUGUUGGAUGUUGGAUUUCAAACAGAAUUAAGGUGAUCACCUCUCUUUUUGCUGACAAAGGCUACUAUAAUAGAUAGAUGAGUAUUUGUUGUGAGUGCCAGGAGGAAUGACUGUUUUGCGGACAGAUAUUGUAGUAGACGGAAGUAUUGAUUGGGUUUCAUUGUAGUAAACAUCGCCAGAUGUUAUCUCAGUGUGUACUGUUUAUGUUAGUAAAUAAAUAAAUCCUCCAGAGCACAAUUAUUCUCUAUAAUGUUUUUUCAAAAGUUUACUAUUUUCUCCUUCUGUAUGUCUAAGUGAACUUCCUCUGCUCUCUGUGCAGCUUGAGAAACCAAUUAGAACAUGUGAAACUGAUUGUAAAAUACAAAUCCUGAUCUAGACUCAGAUAUUAUGUCAAGGCUGGGUCUGGGAUCUGUAUAUGCCAGCAUCUUGUCUUCGGGUACUCUUUCUUCAUCUGAAACGUUCUCUCGUAGGAAAUAUAUGAACUUCCCCCCUCCCUACUGUUUAUGUUAUCAACCAUGCUGGUAAACACCUUGUCAUGGUUAACACCUGUGUUCUCUGACUCUUGGCAGACUCUCAAAGCUGAUGGGUCACUUGCUAUACAAAAUGAUGAGGUUCCAACAUGGGUGUAGUCACUGAAGAAAGCUGUUAAAUCCCAGUGCUUAUAAGCUCAGUGUGUUAGUUAUUAAAUAAGUUAAACCAGCUCUCAGAAGAGAUCUCAGCUUUCUCAGAGGUUAAGACUCAUGAGAGCCCAGAUUUACUCUUCAGACUGCAGAUGGACAGUGUCACAUUGCAUAGUAGUUCAAUGUGAGAGAUGCACAGAACUCCUGCUUCUGUGCUUUUCUAGCACUACCUUUUUUCUUGCAAGUGGCAUGGCAGAUUGAAGCAUACUUAGAUUUUGCAUUCUCUUGAUCACUGGUAUAAUCUGCUCUCCCAGUAACACCAAGCAAGUUCACAAGAGGUUUUUGAAGUGUAGUUAGUACCCAUAAAACUUCGUGUUAAAUGAGAGCUGAAGUUAUCUACUGGGUAUUCUGAGAGUGAUCUCUUUUUGUUUUUGGUAAAAUUCUAUCUGUUGGGCUGAAGUACUGUUUCCAUGCUUCAGUAGAUUUAGCCAUCUUGUAAUUUAUGGCUUCAAGUAAUGUGUAUUUCCACAGACAUCCAAGUUCCCUUGGCAAAUUGGUUCGCUCUGGAGAUUCCCCAAAACAGACUUCAAACAGCUUCUGUAGGUUUAAAAAGAUGCAGUGUGUAUAUGAAUUCUCUGCUGUGGACCAGCAUUAAUAACCUAACAUCUCCUAAGUAAAAUAAUCUCUCUCUAUAUCAGAUCUUAAGUUUAAAUUCAUAUAGAAGAUGUGCUUUCCCCCACAAGUAAUUAAUAGCAUUGUUGGCUGUUGUUUCUGUUUCUUCCAGUUUAUCAGCUGAAUUUAGUUGUACUUAUUCUCUGUAUUUAGAUACCUUUAGAAUUCUUUCAUUGAUUUUACUAGAGCUCCUGUGAUGGAAGCAUAAACAAGUUGUAUGUUUGUUUAUGUAUUCACAGGUAUCCUUAUAAAACUUUGGCUAUUCCUUUUAAAAUAUUUUGUGAUUGUGGAAAAAGACAUCAAACCCACAUUUGUUCAAUUAGAAAAAAUGAAUAGAUAGCAAAAGAAAAGGAAAAUGUCUCAACUUCUCACCUAUUAUUUCACAUUGUAUCUAUGAAUACUUCAAGUGAUGUCUCUGAAAACAUUGAAGAGAGCUACUUGUUUCUCCAAGUCCCUGUGUAGCAUGUGGAAUAUUUGUCCAUUUAAAAUGCAGUUCUGUUCCUCAUCUUGCUUCCCUUUGCAUAAAGUGCACGUCCAAGCAGCAUCCACUGAAGGAACAAUUUCAAGCUGCAUGCAAACGUCUCAUCAGCUGUGCAUUUUUCCUGUUUCUAAGGAAUAAAGAUCAUAAGUGUGAAAUGAAACAUAACAGGGAGGCACUGGAGUGCAGAUCUGAAGGUAGAAUUUGCAUUGGCUACACUUCAGCACAGAUGGUAGGAAAUCUUAAAUCUACUCGAGUCCUGAGACCUUUAGCCCCUCAGGUUAGCAAACGUAUCUAAGGGAGGAAACUGGUGUAAGUAGUUCCUGAGGGACUCUGAUGAUUUAUGCUCCCUAGAAGAAAGAGCCACGGGGAAUAUGCCUGAGCAUCACUGUUUUGUUGGCUGUAGUAGGAUUUUUGUUUAGUGCAACAGCUUUCCUAAUCAUCAGUUAACCAGUCAUGUCCAUAAUAAAGUAAAAGGUGCAACACAACCCUCCUCAGGGUUAGUAUUCUGCAAAAUCAAAUGCCUCAGUUGUUCCUCCCAUCUAGGCAGGAGAAGUAGACCAGAGAAUAACCAAAGCUUGUGGUUACUGUCUGUGCCCCCUUUGAUUUUAAGGGGUGAGGAAUGCAUAAGCUUGCUGCACAUCCUCCUCAGUAAUUGUGAUAGAAAACAUUUGUGUAAUUCUCCUGUCCUCUGCUCUUGGCUCUGAAGUGAAACAGGGACUUCCUAUCAAACCAGAAGCUUUGAAGAAAAUUUAGGACUCCUGAUCUCUUGGAGAAACAGUUCACAUUUCAGGUAAAUGGUGCAUCUCUUAGUUGAUUUGACUACAGGGGGGCUGGUUUGUUUCCUGUUUGAUAUAGAGAGAGAGCUGUACUUCUCUGUUCAUGCUGCACAUUUGUAUGCACCAACCCUGUCUUUUAAUGGAAAGUUCCCACAAUAAAGUGGGAACUCUUUGUCAUGGACCAGUUUAGUUUUUUGGCAUCUCCCUACGUUACUGUGUGCAGUGAUGCUAGUUAAUGCUCAUUGAGGCAGUGGGUUUGUGAUGCUGGUUUUUGGCCUAAAGUGGAUUGAGAUUCAUAAAAAAAUAAUCUCAAAUCACAAAGCCACCAUGGGAUUUUUAUAGCUUCUGUGACUAUCUCACUUGGGCUAGAUUUGAAUCAGCAAUCAGAGGUGAACGGUUUUGUUCUUAUCCCACUACCAAUUUCCUGAGCUAACAUAAUCUAUAUGUAUGUGUGUGUUACAAAAUUUUAUUUUCCAAUUGAAUGCGUCCAUCUUUUGAAAAUAGGUUAAAAAACAAAAGACAAAAUGUAAAGGAAAUUUACCUUCCAAAAAAUACAGAGCAGUUAUCAGGACUUUAAAAUAUAUGUAAACAUCAGUUCCUGCCAAGUUAGUCAUUACUAAGAGUUAACAACACGGGGGAUUGAUUGAGAGAAUGAUUGUUGCUGUAGAAUGAUGAUUUAAUAAGAGAAUAUCUGAUAGAUUUGACAUGCUACAUAAAAUGUGCAGAACGGUUAUUCUUUGGUAAAUUGCAACUUUCGUUUGUACCCCUUACAGCCAUGUUUGUUCUGUGCCUUGCCACAUUUACCUUCUUCCCUGUUAUUCUCUUUCAUUUCUAUAAAUCAUUAGUAUUCACCAUUGUUAGACAUGUCAGAAAAAAGGCACACACCAUUUCCCUUCCCCUUCUUGCCUUCUUUUACACCUUCACCCGGUUUGUUUUCCCAUAGUCACCUACCAGCUCUGUUGUUCAGGAGGGCACUGCCAGAUGUCUUGCUCUCCAUUUUGAAAAGAUGGCUACUGAGAACUCAAUUUUAUUGCCUCAUGCUACUGCUUUUUUUUUUCAUGCACACCCAUUUCUCACUGUUCUGGCUGAUUACUAUCUAUCCAUUGCUUAGUCCUAGCAACACGCUUGGUGCUUUAUAAGUCAGAAAAUGAAGGCUGUCUUGGCUCUAAGUUGUUGUUUUACAGGACGAAUAGAUGAAAAAGCCCUUCUAUUGUUCCCAUCUUUAUGGAGGAGCCGGGCUCUGUCCUAUUUUUCAGCAAUAAUUUAUGAGAGGUUACUUUUUCUGAAAUGCCCACUACCUCUGUGAAGAUCCUAUUGCAAGUGUUGCCAGCAUGCUUAGUCUUUCGUAAAGCCUGGUGGUGUGUGCAGGCCAUGCUCAGGUAAUAGGAAUCACCUUGAGGUAAGCUUUUAUACCCUUUUCCAGCAUAUAGGGUAUGCUGAAGUCAGAGUCUGGGCUAAAAAGGGUCUUCUACUUGCUUCAGAAAAAUGUGGGGCUAUCCUUGCUGCUUGUACUGUAUGAACAAUAAUAAUUAAAAAAAAAUAAUCCUAGAGUCUGACUACAACAAAUAAAUUCCAAAACACCCUCUGCACUAUUUCUGUUGUUGUGCCAAAGAGCAUAACAUAAAAUGACUGAGAAUAACAUCAAUUCAAAACAACAGCACACAAUAGUGUAAUUUGACCCUAAGCACAUUAAAAAAAAAAAAAAAAGGCUUAAAAGAAACAGGAGGAAAAAGGCAAAAAUGGGACUGUGGACUGGCAUUACAAACAGUGUCAUGAAACUACAGCCAGAGGUAUAAGCCUAGUAGAAAGAAAAAGAGAAGGGGGUUGGGGGGCGAGUUACUUAUGAAUCAGUACAACUGUGCUUUGUUCUGCAUGAGUGUUUUAAUAGAGCAAGUGUAAUAUAAGGAUCAGGUGGGCUCAUGGGAAUGGAACAAAAGGUUUUGUAAAAUUAAAGCAAAAUAAUUAUAGCUCUAGGUGUAGAGUGAGCACACUCCAGCAGUUGAUAGCAGGAACCUGUUCAGAAUGGAGAAGGGAGGAGGGAGAAAGAUGCAGUUAGAAAGCUGUUUUUUUUUUUUUCCUUUUUAGUAUUUUUGUAAAUAUACAUACACAAACAUACCUAAAAUAAACAAAUGUAUAUAUGUAUGUUAGCGAAGACUUUUAAUCUGUGGCAGUUGCAAACAACUUUAGAAGUGAUUAAUAAUACCCUCACACAAAAAUGCAUUAAAAUGAAAAUUUAAGGAAUAGUCUCAAAUGAAUUAAUUAGCAAAAAAAGAAAAAAUAAUCUCAGCAGAUCACUCUUUUUAGUGGAAUAGAGGACUAGAACCUAAAACAGGUGUGAUCCUAUGACAUGAGAUUCAAGUAUGUUCUCCCUGUAAAAGCCCAACAAGGAAUAUAUAGAAAGUGCUAAGUGCACCAAUUAAUUAAGCUCAAUGAUACAGAAGUGGAUGUGAUCUUCUGGGUGCCACAGGAAGGAUUUCAGCAAUACAUUGUGUUAAAGGAUUUCCCACAUUUGGGCAAAGCAUUCUUGCAGCUCUCUUGCAGGAGAGCUGUUUCCUACCUGAAUUUAAGAGCAGUUUUACCUGUAAGAUGGCAGCUAGGUUGAUCCUAAGGUAGCCUCAACGUGUCUGGAUUUUUGCUUUUACUUUCCUUUGCCGUCUGUGUACGUAUGUAUGUAUGUAGUAAGGAUGCUGUGUAAAGGUAACUCUCUCACCAAAAGAACUUCUGCCCCAUAAUCACAGCCCUUUUCGAGUUGUUGGCUGUCUUCAAUGAUGUGACAAAAGAAAUACUGGGAAGGCACUACAGGUGUGCAUGUUUCUCUUUCUAGGUAAGUCGUGUUAGGUUCAAAAUGUCUGGAAUCUGUCCCGGUUGUGGGCAGUGACUUCCAAACAAAUACCUUACUUUUCUUUGUGUGUAUAUGAAAAGAAUUAAUGAACACCAGUUGCCUUGAUUCUACAUGGCACCUGUGGGUGAGGAUGGGCUCCUUCCUUCCUGUGUGCUGUUAUGUAGAGUGCUACAAGGAAAGCAAGUGUAAAUCGGUGCAUAUGUCCUGUGGAAAGGAUCUGGUUUUGUCACAGAGCCACAACAGCUUCCCCCUGUGGUGGAAGGCUUGUGAUGGGCACAGCUAUUCCCACCUGUCCGCACCGUGAGAGGCAGGCAGGCUGCAGCAGGGAGGUUGUGAGGCGGCCACGAGCUGUGGUAGCAGGCCCAGCUACUACAGAUGGCUGGCGCGUGAGAUAAGGCCCUGGCAAGGAAGGGGGCCGAUCAGCCCACCUCCCACCACAUUUCCACUUCUUCUGUCAUCAGAUUUCCCUUAUUCAGAGUUUGCUCAGGAUAAUUGUUCACAGACAAUAUAUUUUGUGCUCACGCUGUAAUCAGAGGCUGUUGUCAGUUGGAGCAGAGCGCAUCUCUUAGGUGGUGCUUUCUGCCAGAACGUGGAGGCUGAGAUCAGAGUGAAGCUUUACGAGCUCCAUUUGGUGCUUUUUACUUCCGUCUUGUUUCUCUCUCUGCAGGGGAUGUGAAACUAGAUUUGUCCUGUUUCCACAGCAGGGUUUUGGUUUAUUUUGUUUUUCCAUAGCAUUUCAUUCAGUGGCGCAAAUCCAGAGGAGACUGUGUUGCAGAGAUGGAUUUGAAUGUCAGACAGAAAGAGUUGUGUUUAAUAAACUCUUUGUUGUAAAUUAUAGAAACUAGAGAGCAGGAGGCCUGUGUUUAAUACAAACAUUCUGUGGUUAAAUUAUCACUUUAGACGUUUACCCCAUAACAUAAAGAGCGAUGAAAAAAGGAAACUUUGCUAGAGGGGUUUCUUAAGGGUAUGAAGCUGAAGACUGAAAUUCCUUAGUUAUGGGCAGUCAUCUUUAACUCCCUCUGCCUUCUGUCUUUUAUUUCCUCUGAAACCUAAAUUGAUUAUCAUAUAAUCCACCCUGAAAUUGAGUUCCUAAAUCUCCUCUUUGUUCCUAUAAGAGGUCUGUGGCAAUAGGAAAGAUCGGGAGUGUUAAAGAGUAACCAAAAAUCCCAUUUACCCCCUGAUUGUUCAGUAUUGUGUCCCACUUGUAUUCCUUCUUCUGUCUUUCAUCUUAGAGGUGGCAGCCUAACAAAAUUUGAGUGACAGUAUGGGACUACUUAAAAGAAAAAGGCAAAAAAAAUAAACAAACCCCAAAACUGUAGUAGGCUUUCAGGAAAAAAAUAAAAUAAAAGGUGCUUUAGCAUUAUAAUAUGGUAUUUGAAGAUGACAGCCCAACACGCAAACAGUUGAAUGUGCAUCUCCCCUUAUACAUAAUGACUUCUGCUUAUCUCCCGUGCUCACCAGCUUUUGAAAGCUCCUUUCUGUUUCUUAUAGCAUGAGUUACGUAUCUGUGUUGAUAUCAUUUCAGAGUGAUUUGUCAACAUGAACCUAUUGUGAAAUUAAAGGUCAGUAGCAGGCCAGGCAUUUGACAGGGUAGGCAAUGCUCACUGGAAAGGAAGAGAUCAAGAAUAACACAUCAAAUCCCAAAUCUUCAGAUGUGCCUCAUGACUAGUGCAUUUUGCUGUUUAGGAACAGAGAAGCUUCAGAGUAGAGCUCUCAUUCACAGCGAGACAAUAUGCCAGUAUCUGUCACAGUCUAAGUCCUUGCAACACUAUUGAAGUAAGAGAAUUCGAGUCCCAGAUUCUUCAAUUCUUUUAAUUUUCCUUCUUGUUAUUUGAGUAAAUCCAGCAUACAUACAUGCACAAACAUACACACACAGAUGUACUGGUUUUUGUUUUCCAGAGCAUGGACAUAAAAGUAAUAAAAAUAAAGCAGAAUCAUGGUUUUUUUUUUGCUUUUUUUUUUCCCCUUUGUCCUUUUAUUUUCUGGCAAAAGGUACUUCAUAAGUAGUUUAUUUUCCAGCUUCAUUUUCUUCCAUUUACUCUCUGCUAGGAAAAAAGUCUAAAGGAUUAAGACAGAAACAACCCCGUAUUAUAUAAGUCAAUAAAUAAGCAAAAAGUGUUCCAAAUUGCACUCAAAAAAACAAACAAACAAACAAACAAAAAAACAUUCUACUUCUCCUCAGAAAGAACUGAUGCAAUGCUAUUCACAUUUCCCUGCUUUCCUUCCAUCUAUUUUGGAAUUCAAUGAACAGUAACGUACAGACAGCAGUAAAGACUGCUAUCCUUUUCUUUGUUCUUUCAUCUGAUUCUCCUGCUCCCAGUCUGUAGGAGAAUGAAUCUAGUCUGGCUAGAGAAUUUGCACCUUGCUUUUCUCAUAAGGAAGAUGAAGUUUUUUAGAUAACAGUAGGGACAAUUUCUGGUCUCAUUGAAGUCAUUGGCAGUUUUCCAGAUGAUUUGUUAUGAGAUUUGGCCUUGAGAAAAAGGAUCAGUCACACUCAUCUCCUUUUUAUUCUGAACUAGAAUGACCCAUAUCACUACCCAGUGAUGGCUGCCUAGGAUACUAGCAGUGAAUUUUUGGAAAAUGAUCAAAAGUUCAAAUAUAUGCAAGAAUGCAUGAAACCCACUGUCUAAGCAACCAGAGAGAAUGCAGUUGGCCUCAGCAAAAUACAUGAUUAAAUAGAACCAAAUAAAGCUGGAAGCUUGUUAUGAAAGAUCAUCUAUAUCCAUUUUAUUAUUUGUCUGUAGAAAUUGUGUUAGGAUGAGGCCUGGAACAGUCAUUUCAAACCUAAAUGUAAGUAUGCAUCUUCCUGCAUUCUCUAAAAUUUUUUGGUUGCAGAGCACUAUAAAUGGUGCAAAACAAAGUCUCUUUUCCAAGCUCCCUACAGUGAACAACUUAAGAACAUUUAGUUUUAGCCGGUUUUAGGACUUUAUGUCCUCAGAGAAUAAAUACUGCCCCUUUGAUCUCCAGAUAUAAAAGUCACUAUUUCCCAGGAGCUGGAGAAGAUCUGGGGCCCAGGAGCAGAGACAGAGACAAAAAAUGGGAGCCUGGCAGCUCUGGUCCAUUCCCAGUAUUGCUGCUGACUCCAGUAAUUGGAAAAAAAGCUAUCAGUGAUCCCCAGUAAUCCCUAUUUCUGAAAUGAAUUUAAGAGUACUCAUCUGUUUUAGCAACAUUCAUUAAGGAAGGAAACAAAGUAAUGUCAAAUAAAUAGUCAGUACUCUCUGACCUUACCAUUAACUUCUUUCACAUUUUUAUGAAAGCAGGUAGUUUGCAAAGUAAAUUCACAAGCACCUGAUUUUGUGCGUCUCUGUCCUUUGCGGUGCCCUUUCCUAUGGGAGAGGGGAAGAUGAAAAACGAGACUUGAAUCCAACAGUUUUCCUUGUGUAUUGGAGGGGAGACGCGGAAUGCGGGAUGGCAGGUCAAAGAGAAUAUAAGAUUGCAUUACAAUACAGCUGUGUCUGCAUUUGAAAGCAUUUCACUAACAUGUUGUUAUCCAGAGUUUUCCCUUUCAACAUUUCUUGUAGGAGGUGAAUUUUCCAGUUGGUUUGGCUUUGCUGUCAAAAAAGUCAAGCUAAUUUUUUUCUUUCUUCUGAUUAAGUGAAUAAAAUGCUAAGAGUAAUUAAGCCAAGGAUCUGUUUUUUUUUUUUUCCUCUUUAAUUUCUAACCUAAUAAACAAACUGCUUGUAUCCAUCUUUAUAGAGAGAUUUUAAAACCACUACUGAAAGUAUGCUGUAAAAACACCCUUUCUCACUUGAGAGACAAAAUCGCUUUGAUGACCCUCAAACCUUGUGUGUUAAACUCACAAGUAGAAAUCAUGUUUUUCAUUAUUCCUGUUACCUCAAGGUUACUUCAGGGCUAAGGUUUCCUGUGAAGAUCAAACAAGAGUUGUGGGUUUUUUUUCAUCCUGUCUUGCACAUCCUCACUUAUGUCCAGAUUAUGCCCUCUGAAAGUACUAAGCGGCAGUCUCUGUGGCCUUGGAGCUGGAGGGAGGAUUGUUUGGUGUUUUAAAGGCUCUGAUCAGCAGACCAAGAGAAAUCUGUUUUUUUUCUUGUUUCUGGCUCUGUAACCUUGGAAAAGUCAGUAUGUCUGUGACUAUGUUCCCCAGCUGCAAAGGGCAGGGGGAUGCUAUUUCCUUGCUGCAUAGAUCCUUUGAAGAUAAACCUGCUCUUGGAAAUCAGUUGUAAGCACCAGAAAAUACAUAUGUUAGUCAGGUUUCCUGCAUGUGCCCCGAGUGAGGAUGUUUCUCUCCCAUUGCCCAGUCCUGGAGAUCUACCAUGCUUGAAGGCACUCUGUGCUCAUUCCUGAGUGUGCCUUGUCAGCAGCUACUUUAGGAAACAUCUGCUUCUCCCAACACUGUUUCCCCCGCUGUUGAAUAGGGCUGUUGACAUACAAGAGAGGUCUGCAUGCUCCUCUCAUGCUUGAAGGUGGUUUGCCCAACCUGACUUAGUACUUGGGAGUUUUUGAUCCCCUUUGUAGGGAGAAAGGAGUUGUUUUAGAGCUCUAAUGGAACAUUUUUUCCAUUAUUUAUUUUCUGCAAAUGUUCAUGUUCCCGAUGAACUUCUUUUUGAAAUGUUUUGCUGGAGCCUUAUCCACAUAGGCUGAUCAUAUGUGCCCCAGAUAUAAACAGGAAGAAAAGGUUUCCAGUUCCAUCUGCUGCAGUCUAGAACAAUUUUAUCCACCAUUUGCUGAGAGAAAGCAAUUCUGAUUUAAAGGGCAUGUAAGCUGUGUUAUUAGUCUGAUAGGAUAAUGUAUUACAUUCUUUUUUCCUAGUGAAUUUUUAAACCUGAGCUGAAAAUAAGUGCAAUUCAUGAGCUGUAAGUAAAGAUGUAAAAAAACCGGAGGAAGAAAAAGAAAUUGGAAUUUACAUUAAUAGCAUAAACUGAGCACCUGGACAGUUGGUUAAAACCCCUCCAGAAAGAAUCUUCGACCAAACACCCAGCCAGCUCUUUUCCAGCAACUUUCAGCAGAGGUAAAUGGGAAACCCCACCAAACAAAGAAACAACAACAACAACAAACAGCCAAUUUGUGGAUGCAACUGCUUCACCAGGGCUCUGAAUUCCUUUACCUCUUGGUAACAGUGUAGACCACCCAGGUGGCUCCUACUGCUCACCAACCAGCUGAAGCUCUCCCUCCUCAAGCUGGGCUGCUGACAGACCCACCCUUGUAAAUUUGGUGUUGGUAGUAGUGGAUUCUGGCAGAAGGAGCUCAGGUUUGUGUCAGGGUCAGCAGCUGGCCUGUGGAUUUCAGUAGGUGUUUACUGGAUAAAGGCACAGCAUCUAGCACCUGAAUUUUAAUUCUCCUGAGCCCGCUGAAUCCUUUGUUACUCACUUACCAUUCCUAAACAUGGAUGGCAUUUGCUGGAUGUGCUUGCCUUUUCCUCAAAAUUAGCAUUUUCUUUUAAGUUUCCUAUUUUGAGUUCUGUUUUACUCUUUUGUAGCAGCUGGAAGAGCCCAGCUAUAGCUGGCACGUGGUGGUGACCCAUUGCGUGUAGUGCUGAGAGGCAGAACUGUGAGGAGAUGGCUUGGAGGUGCCGGUACCGCCAAGCUUUGUGGCCCCCCCAGAAAGCACCAAGGCGUGCUGCGAGGCAUGCUGAGAGAGAUGUUUCUUGCAAGAAACCACCAGAGGAAGUCUGUCUAGUUUCAGAAAAUUAAAGUAUCUUUGAAACUGAAAGCAAACAGGAGCUUCCACGGGAGAGAAAACCAAAAGUGCAUUUAAAAAGUUACAGUCAUUGCGUAUCCAUUUGUCCAUCCGUUCCAAAUUCAGUAGUAGUUUCUUGCCAAAAAGCAAGAAAAAGCACCCAAAAAGAGGCAGGGCCGCACAGAGCUCUGCUGCCAAAGCACAAUGCCAGGCAGCGAGGAGGGGAGGCCGUGCUCCGCUGUCAUCCCCCGAGGGACGGCUGUGAAGGAAGGAAGCAGAUCACAGUGUGUGAAGUCUGAGAAGUGACAGCGUUUUGCACUCAAGGCAACUGCACGAGGUUACCUGAGGACAGUGUCUGGCUCUACUAGCUGAUUGCUUUGAGCCUUCAAAAAUCCAGUUAAUGGGGGCACCUCUGAAGCAAACCAGAUAUCCCUUUUACCGCGCAGUCCCUGUUGAGAAGAGUAUAAUUUUACAUUAAUUACACUGGAUAAGUAAGAAUUUGUUAUGUUCCAACUUGAUCCAGUAAAUUCCCAUUUAACCCAGUUGUCCCUAUUAAGUGUGUCAGCUCUCCUUUCAAAAGCUCCGCUAUGCAAAGACAAAUUAGUGUAUUAAUGUGAAAAUACGUACUUUAAGGCAACAAAAAUUAGGAAACCCUUAUCCUUUUUUUUCAGAAAGAAUUAUUUAUUAUGGAAUAUUACAACGAACUCUGAUUGCUUACAGUUGUUUAUAAAAAUCAAAUUUAUUUUUCUUCAUGCUUUUUAUUUUCUCACUUCUAAGCCUUAACAGAAUUCCACUUGUCACUUUCGUUUUCAUUAAUGUACUUUCAUUCUCUCUAAUGUACUUUCAUUUUGUUUAAAGUUGAUUUAAAGUUUCGUUUUCAGAUUCUCACGUAAAUAUUGAAAAAAAAUUGACCUGAAAGUACCUCCUAAGACUCAUCUAUUCUUUUCUGCUCUCCUUAAAUUAUAUAUAGUGUAUACUAGACAAUAGCCAGAUCUAAUUCUGAACUACUUUGUCAGUUGAAGUUAAAGCCUAGGGGAAAACCAUCAGUUUAUCUUGCACGUAGUUAGUACGUAACUCCAUUCAACCAAAGUUGAGUGUGUUUUCCAAGACCUUCCCAUUGGAGCACAGGUUCACUGUCAUCCUAUUGAUACCAAGGAGAACUGUCUGUCUUCUGCCUGUGGAUAAGUGAUGGGUCCUAAGUGGACGCCUAAAAGUUUUCCUGUUUUUAGGAGUAUUAACCAUCAAGUGGAUUUUAUGUGUUUAGAAUUUUCACAGGAAAGUCAGGCUUAAGGAAGAAUGGAGCAGUGGGGUUUUAGUGUUUUGUGUGUGUGUUUAUUUUUGAUCUUUCACACGCUAUUUGUUUUGUCAUCCCAUUUCACUUCUGUUAAAUGGUGUCUUGUGUGCAGAAGGUGGUCUCGGAGCUCAAAGAUCUCCUUACAGUUAGGCAGGUGGGUUUGGAGAGGAGAGUUAAAUAAUUUCUGAUGUGAAAUAACAAUCAAUUUGGGCAUAUGGCGCUUUGAGAUAUGUGUACAAUAAUCUCAGAUAUGUCUGGAUUGCUUAAGCUCAUUAUUCACUUGUUGCUCUUUAGCAUCUGAUACAUGGGAUACGCACAAAAUAAAUGCAUUUUAUUAAGAAUGUUUGAUAGCUCUGGUGCUGUUCAUGCUCAGAAUGUGAUAUUUUAGAGUGCAUGUUUGUAUACAAGGAAUUAUUGUUGCAUUUUAUCAUCCCAUGGUUUGAAUGUGUGGAAAAUGUUUUGCUGCAAUAUCACUGCAUCAUAUAAAACACACGUGGUAAUUCUAAAUGUAGUAGUGUCCAUGACAUGAUGUUAAUCGUCAGCCUUUGGCCCACCAGUUGUUUUCACUCUUGUAAGAAGUAACCAGACCCAAAGUGACUUUGAAAGGUGAUCCAUUUCUAUCCUAAUAUGGAUUUAAAUGGAAUAUUUCUCAUGCCGUUCAGUCCCAAGUGGGUCAUUUCUUCUUCUGCUGUUCCCUAUAAGCGUCUUCUUGUUUUGUAUUUCAGAACCUGGAUUUUCAUUUAGCAAUUAAUGUGGGUGAUUCAAGUCACUCCUUCUGUAUUUUAUUAAUUUUUGCCAAAUAUAGUAUUUCUCAGCCUACUAUUGAUUGAGCAGAAUGGGGCUUGCCUACACAAAAUUUCUUAGGAAAUACAAUUUGCACAUCCAGAUUUUUAACUACACCCACUCUCCCCAUUAUUGCAAGGUGUAAUCUAGUUGUAUGAUGCUGCCUGCACAGAUGCAUACCUUCUUUAAAAAUAGGUUAUGUGCCUAAAUCCUUGAGAGAGCUUGAAUACGGGAUUUUUCUAGGCCUUGGUGCUCACCGAAUAUUUAGCUCUUGUGGUUACCGUAACAGUUUUUGUGAAGGCUUUUCCGUGCUUUUAAAAGGUGCUUUUAGUAAUUAGUUUAAUCCUAAAGUGCAGCUGAGUUCUUUUGCAGCAAAAGCAACUACUAAUUUUAAAAGUAAUUUUAAAUUUACACGUAUCCAUUUUAACAGUACGUUUGACUUGAGUACUUCUUUUCCAGAAAUCUACCCUGGAGAAAAUGUUUUUAAUCAGGUUAAAAUGGAGGCAAGAUAGAAAAAAAAAUGUUUGCUGUGGCUUGACUGCAGCAGUGCUAAUGAGCUCUGCUCUAAUACAUGGAGGAACAUAUGGCCCCCAUCUGAAUACAAACUGGACACAAAGCAGUAAUUCAGCUGAGAUGUCCUGAAUAUUGUAAACUGGGUGAAUGUGGUUGAAGGUGUUUAUAAACGGUGGCUGAAUCCCACACACUGACUCACUGCCUUCUAAUGUCCGGGGCUCAAGGUGCUGUUUGUAAGAGUAUAGAAAAUGACCCGGAGAGGGAAUUCUUAAUUAAUGCUAACAAAAUAGCUAACUGAAGUGUUAUGUUAUGAAGAAAAGACUUCUUGUGCUCAUGACGCAGCAAGAGACGGAUUAUGGAGAGGGCGAGUUAGGAGAAGAAAAAUCACAGGACAAGCAAAUUGAGUAUUUACUGGCAAAUAAUUGCUCUCUUAAGCUGUGGCUCUCUUCCUAAAUUCUUGGCAUUCCUGAGCACUAGAACUGUGUUUUUAAAAAUGCAUCGUUACAGAGUAGAUGCAAAAAAACCCCUCAAAGGCUGAUAUUACAGGCUUGUGCAGGUAAGACUGUGUGUUACUGCCUAUAUUUCUUCUGAAGCUUUAGACUGACCGUUGCUUAUGGGCGGAAUACUGUUUUUUUCUGUGUCUAAGGAACUGAUAUUUUGCUUUCACAGCUAUAUUCCGUCUGAAAGUUAGGGAAAUGGAGAUAGUCCUCUGAGUUGUAGUGCAUGCUUUUGUGUCAGCUCAGAUAUGCCGAUGUACAUGAAAUCAAAACAAGCUUUUAGGAGUCCAAUUUUAUUUAGUUUAAUUGGGUUCUGGCUUUUCUAGAAGUGCCUCUACUUAAAAAAUCUAUACAGCAAUUGCGUGUGGGCAGAAACAUGCCUCGAUGUGCUUGCAUUUUGAUACGGUUUGAUUUCCACAAAGGAGGGCUUAGGAGAUUGUACAGUGACAGAACUUUUCCCAAAUAACUCUGAGUCUGCCCACAUCCAUAUGUAUUCCCUUGGUGUGGCUCCCCAAGGAAGUGAGAUUUCUGGAAACCCCUCUGUUUGCGUACCUGUCUCCGAUUCCUUUAAUCUUUUGAAUCUAGCUACUUUCAGCCAACUUUGAUGGGUAAAAGUGUCCAAGAUACCAAAGCUUCCACAUGUUUUGUGGAAGCGGGCAGCUCUUUAAAGGAGAAAAACUCUUUUAAUGACACCACUGAGGGAAAGACUGCCUCACCAUUUUACCCAAAAUUAUGCAUCAAAGACCCCACAUGGACAGAAAUCCAUAAGACAGCAGGUACUUUUGGCUACCUGAGAAUUGGCUCAACUUCACGGAGAAUUUGAUUUUUUUGUUUAUUCCACAUGUAAACUUCAUUUUGCAGUACUGAAAGGAUCUGUUAGCCUGUGGAGAUCUGUAGUUGGUUAAGAAUACUCUGUCUUAAAUGGCUCUUUUUCACAUCUUAAUCACCAAAUAACAAAACAGUAUCUUAGCAUUUUUGUCAUGCCUACAAACUGUUCUUCCUUUCUGCCCCCACUUCAUGAUGCACAUUAAAAGGAAUGGCCAAAAUCAUCUCACUUUCCACAAGUAAAUAAAAAUAAUGUGUACCCAUGAAGAGCAGAAAUGUAUUCUAUUUUACAGAGAUUGGAUUUUGGUUGUACCAGCCCUAUCGUAUGGGGUAUCCCAGCUGAACACGUGACUGAUGAGCUUUCAGACACCACUCUAGAAAGUCAUGCAGUAAGCAUUACAGAGCCCAGUAUCAGGUCCUUCAAGAACAAAUUGCUAAGUUCCUAGUGAUGAGUAAUAGUGAUUUAACCUUUCCCACGGUUGCGGUUUCUCCUUAGAAUGUAUCAAACUGAAGUUGGCUUAUGUCUUCAAACACAGGCAGUUUUCAGUCCUCAUACUUUAGUGUACCACAGUUGUGGAUAUUCUGUUUAUUGACUACUAUGCCAAUUAUUUCUGUAAUUAUGUUUAUCGUUAUUGUAAUUGUUCUUUAUUAUUGUUAUUAAUAUUAUGGCAAUAAUUAGUCCUUUUUAAACUCUCAAAACCUCUUGGCCCUUGUGAUGUCUUGGUGCAGAGUCCUGCAAGUUAAUUAUAUAGUAUGUGGAUAAAAAAUAAUAAUCCUUUUAUUGGUUUUAAUGUUCUGUCUUUUAGUUUUAAUGACUGUCCCCUCUUUUCUUGGGAGGUCAGAUUUAUUUUAUUUUCUCUGUGCAGUUACAUUUAUAUCCCAUCUCCUAUGUUCAGCCUUUUUCAUUUUCUCUGUCAGUUUGAAGCUAUCUAAAGUUUUUGCAUAUGGAAAGCUCUUGGGGGUUUUAAUGAAUCUUUUUACUCUCUGAACCCCUUUUGUUUCUUUUACAUGAUAUUUGAGGCAAGGUGAUAAGGGUUGACAGCAAAAUCCGGAGGGAUGGCAUAACACUAACUUAUAAACCUAUCAGCAUUUAUAGGUAUUCUUGAAAGAUUUUCCUUUGGAGCACCAGUCUGCAUGAGGUGCUGAGUGAUCCCCAAAAUUUCUGUUUCCUAUGUCUGAGCGCUGUGAACUCAUCAUGUGUUAUGAAAUGAAAGCAGUGUGAGUUGUUUCUUUAUCUCCAGUAUUAGGAAAGGCUAACUACAGAAUCCUGUGAAAAGUUUUUCAAAGUCAAAAGAGAGAUCUAUGGAGAAGGAUCAUUGUACCUUGUGUAUUGUAAACUGGAAGAAUUCCACAAGAUGGUGAUGGCUGACAUCAAAAGGAAGUACAGCUUGUUCUGUGGCUUCUAGACCAUCUGCAACUGACGUGGAAGAGAUGAGAGGAUGCCAAACAAUAGCACAAUUGUGAUAUAGUGGAAGUAUGAAUCAGGCAUUGGUCUACCCUUCCUGGAAAACACAGUCGAAGCCUGGGACUGUUCCUAGGAAGGCACGCAGAGUCUUCAUUUGUUUGAAAGAGAUAAAUUUCAGGCACUAAUUCAAGACCAGCAAUUGCAUUAAAAUGUCUGGAUCAAGCUUUUUCCAGUUUGGAUUGUCAAAUUUUAUCUUUUUAUUUCUGCAGAUAUAUAGAGGCAUGUUAUAGAAAUAUGUAUUAAGAAGUCCCUGAGUCCUAGGAGAACAUAUCAAGUUGACUCUGGCUAGAAGCAAGUGAGUUUUAUUCCCAUUCCUUUCAGUUCAUUCACCCCUUUUCCAUUCUCUUCUUGUCAUCUCCUGUCUUUCACCUGAUUUUUUUUUCCUUAUUAAAAAUUCUGAGUGACCUGGUACAUUUUAAUAUGAUAUAGGUGAUCAUAUUCAUCAUGAAGGUGAUAAAGCGUACUUCAAUGCCUUCUCGCUUGUCCAAGGGAUAACAUAGGUUUCAAAAAGCAGAUGGCUGACUAGAGAGCCCUGAGAUAUCACAGAGCUAACAGGUGCAGCUAUCAAUUCAGCUUCUGCAAUGCAAAGAAUUCAUAUUUCCCAUAAAAAUCAGAAAAAAAAAGGGGAAACAGUGAAAGAGUGAACUCAAAGACUCCAAAUACAUACAUUUGAAAAUUUUAUUAUGGUAGAUGAUGCAGGGACAGCAUUUGUAUGCCAAAAGUAGCAAUCCAUUGCUAAGGAAGUAAGCUUCAUGGCUAAAGCAGAGUGCUGAAAGGUAGAGACUGCACUGAAUUCUUGUGGUCAUUGAACAGCUGAGUAAUUUGCACAACACUCCUAAGGUCUGUUUCCCACACCAAAGCAAAGCUUUGUAUAGGAAAAGAUAAAAAAAGGAAAGGUGUAUUGCUGCUGAAAUGCUAGAUACUGAAGUGGCUCAAAAUGUGUUUCCAAAAUGCAUUUAGUGCAUCAAGAAAAACAACACGUAAAGGUCAUUAGGAGAAAUCACACUACUAACAGUACCUCUUUCUAGUCCUCUUCCCCCUUUCUUACAAGUUUAAUAUGGGAUUAUAAAAAAAUAUAGCCAGCAUACAAGUGGUUAAGGAGCCAUGUCCACACUUUUUCAGUUCUUUAUAUUUUGACAGUAGUGGGCUUCUAUGAGCUAUUGAUAACUUCAGAUGCAAUUUAAUUGCAUUUUUGUUCGUACUACCUUAAAACCCAGUUUGGAAUGAAAAUGGUUGAGGCAUCUAAAUAUGUCAUUACUAAUAUCAUUAAUAAGGUUGUUAGGCUUUAAUUUUGUGCUGCCCAACUGAAAUCUGUGGUGUGUGCUUACUGAAUCAGUGCCAUAGCACAGGACUGGGACUCCUUCAUUGUCACAGCUGGACCAGAGGACUUUGAAGUGGUGUUGCCUUUCCCUAGACAUCAGUAGAAUUAUCCUUGCAAAAGCAAGUAGUUUUUACAAGUUGACAAAAUGACUCUUACGUUACUGGUAGCGGAAAAGAUAAAGAUCUUAACUGCUGACUUUCUGGUAUAAGUACAAGAAAAUAAGGUCUUUUAAUUCACAGCAAAAUUAAGGUAACCAAGGGAAACCAAGAGGAUAACUAUUCAGAAUUUUAACUAGUAAUGAGAAAUUAGGAUAGGGCAAAUAAUGAACACGAUCCUUACUGCCCAGACACUGAAGUCUUUAAAUUUUAGAUUGCAGUGAAAGUGUUUCUAUAUUUGGUCUACUAGGAAAAAAAUCACCGUAAUUCCAAUCACAUUUCUAAAAGCUAUGAAUACAGGUAUGAGAGAGUAUUACAGAUAAAUUAUCCGAUUCAGAAGUUUUUCCUAGAGUUGCAAAAUCUGUUAUGUCAUAUUCACAGUUUUUCCAUAAAAAGACUUUUCCAUUAGUCAUCAGGUUGGAACAGCACUUAUAGAAGUUGGAAAAACAAGUCAUAAUACCUAUAAAACGUUUUGAAAAGUUAAAGUGAAAACUUCCUGAGCAGUUGAUAGAAAGGAAAGUAAUGGGGAGAUUUUUUUCUGCUUUUGUGUAAAAGGUGGGAGUUUUGACUGGAGAAUGCUAUAGCCAACUGCAAAUAUAUGAAACUGUUAGAGAAAAGAUUUCUCUCCUGUCCUAUUUUCAGACAAAUUACCUUCGUGGUCCUGGUCCUUUGGUUCCACACAAUUAUCAACUAAGCUGAAGGAGAUCUCCCUAUAGCUGUGAGUAGUAAUGAGGCUUUAGCAUUUCUUUUCACAUUGCUGCUAGAGAGUGACCCCUCUCUCUAGAAGGCUCACCUUUUCAUUACAAAGGUGUUACUUCUUUUCUGCAUAUUUAAAGCACCCCUUGUGUUACUGUGCAAUCCCUUCACUGUGGAGUAACAGAAAAUUCAAGCUGACAUAAGUUCCAGCAAGCUUCUUUAACCUUGGAAGUGAAAAGUGGCCAGUGACAGGCAGGAGCUUUGAAAGACAGCGAAAGAAUAGAUUCAUUUUGGAUUGUACUCAGAAUGUUGUAUAAAUGAUGCAAGAAACUCAGAGAGAUGCCACAAACACCCUACUAGGGAGAUACCAGUGACAGAAUGAGAGCUACUGCCCGAAACUGCUUGAGUUUUGACAGCAUUAUGUGAUGACAUCUGAGAUGUAAGUAGAUGCCAGGCAGCUAUAGUGUCUUUUGAUGAAGUCAUUUAUUGAUUUGACACUGACUUUUUCCCUUGUACCAGUGCAUGUACUCUCCUGUGACACAGAAUUGAGGUGAUCUCGUGAAAUUACAAGAAAAGCAGAAAUUGGGUAGACAAAAUGGAUGCUACUACCAAGGAAACUCUACUCAGUACUCUUAGAAGUAAAGGAUACUGUGAUGUGAGUCAGUCCUCACAACACAGCACUUCAAGGGAAAUGGAUAAAUGGUGGUUGGGCACAACUCACAGCUCUAAGUGCUGUGAGGAGGUGAUACCAUGUGGCAGAUUUACCUGGGAUUUUUGUGCUGGCAGAGAGACAGGGAAGGAAAUCUUUUUAUGAUCAAGCAGUAUAGCUCAAAGCAGCAUUGGUUUUAUGAAUGUGAAUGAUAAACAGUGGUGAAUCGGAGUACAGCUGAAUCCUAAACCAAGUGAUUGUGAUGGGGCAAAUUAUAGAGGAAUUUAUGCAAGGUUCUCUGUUGCUAUAGCUCAAAUGAUUCGUCUGUGCUGUUUUUUCCUCACCCUUUUCCAAGUUUAUUUUGUGUUGUAUAUCAUUCCUGUAAUUGUGUUCUUUGUUGUUUUUCUCCUGACAUGUUAAAUCCCACAACACAGUCUAGUCUUGAUGUUUUCCUUCUCUUUCAAAGAGUCCCAAGAGAGAGAAGCAGGGAAGGUAGAUGUAUUUGACUUUGGAAAAUGAGUUUAUGCCAGUUGCAAAGGAAAUAAAAUAUAUCAUAGGGGUCUGCUAAGGGGAGGGGAAUGAAAAUAUUGCUCGUUUGUGACAAAAGAUUGCCUUGAAGACUGCUUCAGCUUGAUCAGUCUGAAGUCCAUGUCUCACUGUUUCCAUUACAAAGGCUUUAAUGUUCCUGUUUCUUUUGGAAAAGGACUUCAUCUAUUUUGAAAUAAGUCCAAGGCUCCCCAAAUGUACUAUUUGCUUUCAGGCUGAAAACAUGAGACCUGUGCAUUGGCAUCUCAUUCUAGAGGGGCUAGAAAAUAUUACGUGGUUUAGGUCAUGGGCCAGGAUAGCCAAGGAGUCAGCAUGUGAGCAUCUCCAUGACAGCUGAGGAUCAUAGAGUCCACAGCCUUAUGCUGAUACAGUGAGCACUACUUCUGCAAGGACUUUGGGUAUGGAGAUAUUUCAGCACAGAAUGGGGCCAUGGCUUCCUCAUGCUCUGGGCAAUGGAUGCAAGCAAUAUGCCUAGCAGACAGGAGAACAAGCUGUCAAGCUAUGCCUGGCACAGGGACCACAGGAUGGGUGAGGAACUGAAGCACUCUGCUGUGCAGGGUGUCUGUACUGUGGUGGGUCACUACAGGGCUGUAAUUAGAUAACGAAAUCUCAGCCAGAAUGAGUGAAAUCUGGUAGAUCUUUGUUUUACAUACCAUUUGUCUGGUUUGCAUGUAGGAGGCAGGACUUCAGGACCUGUAUUAUGAAGGCAGAAUACUAUUCGUAUGAUACCUUCUUGGUAUCAAGCCUGUAAGCCGAUACAGUUCAUUCCUUCAGAGGAUCCCAGUCCGGAUUUGUUCACUGGGGGUGAUCAUUACAGAGCCGUAGUACAUUAAUUCAAGUCCUUAGCAAACAGUGGCUCACUAUCCUCUGCAAGCCUCCCACGGCUUCCUAUUGUGAGAACAUAGCUUUCUGCUGUUUUUCCUUUAUCUGCUCCUGAGAUGUCCCUAAUCUCUUCUGAGCAUCAGCCCCCAUUUUUCUGUUCGCAGCAGAGAACUUUUUCGGUGCACACCUGUGGAGCUCAUUCCUAACCUGUCGUUUUCAUAGUAGCAGUUUUACCGGGUGUUAAAAUACAGCUACCAUCCUGAUACGUGCGUACAGAGGAAGAAAAUAAAUGCGCUCUCUGGAAAGAGAUGAUAUGAUCUCUAAAUUAGUGGCAGCCAUCCCUCAUAGUGUGUGGUAUGUUUUAAAGUUCAAGGUCAUUUUUUUUUUUUUUUCCCUUUCUUAGUAUGUGCAACUGUUAGCAUCAACUGCUGAUGCAUUUACCUUGGGCUUUUUUCUUUAGAAAUCUUACAGCCUUUUUGGAAAUUUCCACUCCUCCUCCACUCAGCUUUUAAAAGAAAUUUUUGUUUUUAUGAAAAGUGAAAGCAACUUUCAUGUAAGAUGAGCACAAGUGAGUUGCCAGAAGGUAAAUUCUCUGUGCUGUGAGCAGGCUUCUGUUUUACAUGGGAUAGCCACUGUGAAAUGCAACAACUCUGAACAACAGUUCGUGAGUCCAGAAAAAUACAAAUGAAGUGACAGCAGUGUUUACACUGCUAAGUCACUUAUAUGAGAAGAUACCUUAUUUUGAAGUGACUACUGUCCUCCUUUGUUAACUUGAAACCAUCUGGUUUUAAGCAUGUUUGACAGAAGGAUAGGGGCUACACAGAGACUGAAUCCUACCAGUUUUAUGACAAUCAGAAACAGGAAAGAGGCCAAAGUUCCUCCUGCCCUGGAGGAGAGCCUGCAGCAUGCACUCAAGAUACAUGCAAGGGUUGUCCAGCCAGCAGGGUGGACAUCUCUCACAAAACGGCCUGGCAGCUGGCAGAUGUGCUCCUCAGCAUGUGUUCUGGGUUUCCUGCCACUAGCGAAGGAGGGAGGGAGCUGGAGGUGCUGCAGAUGAUGGCCAGAGGGAAGCACAAAGAACUCUGGAGGGAGCAGUCCUAGCCAAGAUGUUCUGGAGGGGGAGAACACAAAGCAGAAGGGAGCCAAUGUUGCUUGUGGCAUGACUUGUCUAAUUCAGGUACACUCUGAUCUGUCACCAGAUCCAGAGGUAUUUCAACAGUGAAGCAUUGCUUUACGGUUUAAGACUUCAACUAAAGGGGGGAAGACAGAAGUUCUGUUCUUCAGCUAGGAGGUGUGAACUUGAUGAACCGAUUGUAACAUCUGUGUCUCGUAUUCUUUCUCUCUGAGAAAAGGAUAGAAAUACAUGUGUGCUUCAGAGGGGAGCUGAGGUGCUUCAUCCGUUUGGAAAUGAUUUUUCUCCGUUAGGAGACAGAUGCUUUACCUUUUGCAUGAAAAGCUGUAAAUGUUUCAGAAACAAUUAAAGCAGCUUCCUGACAUCCUCUUGGGUGAGGAAAUAUGAUUGCUGUGGGAAAACUGAGGCAAAAAAUCUGUCAUGUGAAUAUUUUAUUUUAAUAGUUAAUGAACAGGGAAAAAGAAAGCAUUACUAUAAAACACAUGAGCAAGAUUGUGGAAAACUUUGGCAGAGAAAGGGACUGAGAUAAAUUCUGUCUUGAUUGACAUCUCCUGAAGGUCAAAGUAUCUACCCACUGUAUGAGGCAGUGUUAAAUUUGCUCAUGGUGUAUAUAUAUAAUCAGAAGACUUUGCCUCUUAGUAUACUUUAUUUCAGAAUGCGUGUACUGCGUAAGGCUGGCUGGUAGAGUAGAAGUAAAUAUUAUGAAAAGUGACUACAUAAAAAGAUAAGCCUUUGGUUUCACAUCAGCAAUAAUAUUAUUAUUUUUUACAUGAAAACCUCAAAUUAUUUUCUGAACAAUACCUAAUGGCCAGACAGUAUGCCACUUCAGGAGAUCUCCAAAGGUCUUGAUCAAAAUAUACCACACCAUUUUAGGGUGUUUGUGAAUAAUAGCAUUUCCUAUUUGGGGAUUUGGAAAUAAAGGCACAGAGAAAUUAAGUAGGUCACACACCAAAUGAGUGGCAAUUGAGGAAGAAAAAGCAGAUGUCAUGACCUUUUCCUCUUUCUUUAACUCAGAAGAUCAGUAGUCUUGCAAGCCUGCACAUCUGUUUUCAGUUUAAGCUGAUUCUUGUUCUUGCAGGAUGUGUGAUGCUGCAGACGAUCCAGUUGUUUUGACUCCCUCAUCCCAAGAGCUAAGGCAUCAAAUCAGUUACUCUAGGUUAGUGUCAAUUCUCUGCUAGGACAAGCCUCCUUUUUCAAAGAAGGGCAACAAAGCUGUGAGGGGUCUGGAGCACAGGCCUUAUGAGGAGCAGCUGAAGGAGCUGGGAUUGUUCAGUCUGGAGAAGAAGCUCUGGGGAGACCUUAUUGUUCUCUGUAACUACCUGAAGGGAGGUUGUAGUGAGGUGGAGGUCAGCCUCUUCUCUCGUGUGACUAGUGAUAGGACUAGAGGGAAUGGCUUCAAGCUGAGCCAGGGAAGGUUCAGGCUGGACGUUAGGAAAUACUACUUCUCUGAAAGGGUGGUCAGGCACUGGAAUGGGCUGCCCAGGGAGGUAAUGGAGUCACUGACCCUGGAGGUGUUGAAGGAACGUUUGGAUGUUUUGUUGAGGGACAUGGUUUAGUGAGAGCUAUUGGUGAUGGGUGGAUGGUUGGACUGGGUGAUCCUGUGGGUCUUUUCCAACCUUGGUGAUUCUAUGAUUCUAUGAUCUCUAGUAGAUUACAGACUGAACACAUACCAAGUAGCAUUUUAAACUGUAUUCACAUUGUGGCAGAUUGUAACUAUGUGUAUACUUAAGUACCAGUAUAAAUUGAACAGUUAACUCUAAUACCUGCGGCAGUUGCUUUCCCCCACUAGACCUCUGUACAUUUAUAUCAUUGUAUAAAUGCUUCUGUAUGUCAAGCAUUCUAUGAAAGAAAAAGAGAAACUUCAGCUGGUAGGAGAUUAAAAAUUUAUGGUGAGAAAAGACAGGGCCACCCAUAAGUAUCAGGUAUACACUGACACUAAGUGAUUAUUUUAGAUUUGUUUGCAUGUUUGUUUUUAGCUCAAGCUUUGGAAAUUGACAAUGCCUUUAUUUAAUUCCACUGAACUCAAUGUGAGGUUUACCAUACAUUUAAGCUGAACUAUACCAGUACUGAAUAUUGUGAAAAUCUCACUCCUACACAUACCCACUUUCACUUUUGUGUUCUUGAAUCAGAUUUGGCAAGUAAAUGAACAGAAAUGGGCAUUAUUACAUAUCCCAGGAGAGCUAGUGCUUUCCAGAAUGCUGUCUGUAUUUCAGAAUUGCUGUGCUUUUAAUUGUCUUGCAGCCCAGUUUGUCUUUGAUGGGUUCUCUCUCAAUGGGUUCUCUCUCUGGCCUUGUAAAAUCCAUAAAUUUGUGAAGUAUACCAGACAAGAACCCUUUGCUCUUGCUUGUGCCAUUCCUAACUUGUGACACAAAUGGAAACAAGGCUAAUUCUGUAAGAUUCUCCUGAGAGGAAGAUAUGUGAGGACAACACUGUCUAGCCUUCUGAAGUCUUAGGCUUGUUUCUUGGAUUUAAUUCCUUAACUGUGUCACAAGUUUUGGACUGCUCGAUUCCUCUCCCUGGGCCAUGUACUCCAAUUCUGAAAUCAUCUAGAUUCUCUGUGUUAAAUGUCUAUGGUUUUCUUUGUCACUUAGAGUCUGAAUUGUCCCUUAUUUUGUAGAAGGGGAAUUCACUUCCUAGUGGUGUCAACAGCAGAAAUAUGUGAACUGUCCACUUGUGUUAUGGUCACGAUGAGGUCUAGAUUCACCGCUAACUAUAUCAGAAGGAGGCCUAAGAUGGAAAGUAUCUGACUACCAACUGCCCUUUACUCCUAAGAAAUAGGCAUUUGCAUUCUUUGUAUCCUGGAAAGGAGAAUCACCAUUCUGAAUGCCAUGCUUAUUCUCAGCAUGAUGUGUGUGAUGAAGAAGGCACUCAAAGAAAGAAUCAAAGCUAGGAUGACAUCAAAACAAAUGCUUCCAUUUUUAUUCUCCCUUCCAUGGUGGAUUAGUUACAACAGAAUGAAACACCAGAUAACUUGAAAAUAAAAGCCCGUGUGUGUAAGUAGACUAUGGCAGUUUAUUCUAAAAGUAAAUUCUUCUCUCACUUCUCAAACUACAGCUCCAACAACAUAAUCCCCUACUUUGCUUUCUUUGACACACCUUCUCAAAUUCGCUGGCCAGCCCAUAUGGUUGCUUUGAGAUUUUUGCUGUUCUGUGUCACUUGCUUGUCUUUCAGAGCUGUUAUAGAUAAUUGCUGGACCUAGUAUCUACUGAUAUGACAUUGUGCUUGGCAUGUGAUAUGAAGGGAUGUUACUUCAGUGCUCCAAACCCUUCAGUAGACUUUGAGAUAAAAAGUUCAAACAGUGUCCCAGCUGAGCACUCAACACACAUAGUGGUGAAAACCAUAGGAAAUGGGAAGAGGGAGCUUUUCAAGCAGGAGUCUAAGGAGACAACGUCAGUCUGGGUUCUCCUUUAAAUGGACAGUACCCUAUACAUCAAAAAAAGAAGGAAAGGAAAGAAAAGGAAAGGAAGGGGGAGAGAAGAGGAGAAAAGAAGAGAAACAGAAGGGAAGGAAAAGAAGAGAAAAGAAAAGAGAAAAGAAGAGAAAAAAGGAAGUGUGACUAAUCUUUUUUUCCUUCAUUUUAUAUGUUAUUUUAUCUUACAAUGACUUACCCUGUGUGGUGCUGUUCAGCAUGCAAACAUUGCAGAUGAAUACAAUCCCAAGCUCCAACAAACUGUUCCCUCAGCCAGAUAGUGCUGACUUCUGCCUCAGGACACAGUAGAACAGUCACAACACUGAAUUGCAUUCAUCUGGUGAAACUAUUGGGGAAAAUAAGAGUUCUAGAGAGUAAGUAGAUGAGUUCUCAAGUAGCAAUCAAAGUAAAAUGUGUGCAUAAAAGGAAUGUAGGACUCAUUUCCCAAGCAUGUAAUGUGGAAGCCAAUUUGUAAUCAAUGGCUUUCUUUUCACAUGUUCAGUGAGGAAAUACUUGUUUUCCCAGCUUUAUGAUCAUGAAGCAAGGUGGACUGUUGUUUGAAGCAUACUUUGUGCUAGUGACUUUUUCUCUAGUCUUGAGCAAGUUAGUAAUUUUGUGUGGUUUUUGAUAGCUGGAAACAGUGGUACUGAUUUCUGCCAUAAACAGCUUGUAAAAAUGUUGAUAUAUUAGGGGACCAGAACACAGUGAUCUGAGUAAUACAUUUGUCUGGUACAUUAGUAACAUCUCUGUGAGCUCUACUUGUUUUCUUUCCCAAAGAAAAUGUACUUGCAUACAAACAAAACUACACUUUCAACUUUUAUUUCAGUACAUGAACAUGAAGACAGAAGAAAGACAUGCAGUUGCAUGGUUGUGCUAAAUAUGUCCUCCAUUAUUUGUGACAAAAUUAGUUUUUGGACUCUACUGAUUAGAACAAGACACAGAGUUAUUACAGAAAAUAUCAGCCAUAGGAGAGAAACAUUCUCUGAGCUUUAUACCACACUUCCCAUUCUUUUGUCAGCUUACAUUAUAAAUAAAUAACAAAGCAAUUUGACACAUGCCCAUUGAUUAAAAAUAAAAGUUGUCAGAGUGAGAGGAGAAAGACAAAAAUAUGAAUUAUUAAUAACAAUAUUAAGCAAUGCAAAAAAGAUGCUUAACAUGCAGGAAAGUCUCUGAAAAGUCACUUAGUGAAGGGGAAGGAAAGGACAGCUACAGAGACCUUGCCUCCACUACUUUGUGGCCACUUCCUCACUACCUAGUCUAGCAACUUGAUCCUUGAAGGUCAGGGUGGCCAUACAAGAAGGAAGGGUGAUUCUGUUGAUUUCUGUUAUCCUGUUUACUUCACCUCUAUUGUUUCUAGCAUGCACUACCAGCAAGCAUGAAGACAUCAUGUAAGGUAUGGAGUAAAUUUAAAUCAAUCAUGUUCAUGAUUGAAUUGGCCAUUUUGUGUUUCUGAGCAAUCUUCUUGCCGGUGAGAUUUGAACAACAGAUUGAUAAAAUGGACACUUCUGUGGCAGAAGGGAGGCUAAUUUAAACUCUUUCUAAUUUGGUAUAUCACAGGUACCUGGGAUUUAGUAAAGGGAUAUUAAGGUGUGCAAAAAUAUCGUUACUGCUAGUUGUAGUCUGUGUUCUGUGUACAGUGUAUUGCCCCAGUUGAUGUGCCAAACACUAGCUGGAGUAAUUAUGCAUUUCUUUUCCCACCUUCUGUUGCUUAUUUUGGUUGCAGCUAUUUCAAUGUUUUCAUUUACCAGGACAGUUUGAAUGGCUACUGGGUAUACUGACCAUCCUAGCAAUAUUUAAUUUUCUAUCCAUGGAGAUCAGAUUUCUUUUUUUUCCACUGAAGAGGAAAGGAAGAAAAAGUAUACUUGCAAAGAGUAAGAAAGGUAAUGACACAACUUCUCUGAAAACUGUAGAAUCUCACUUAGUGACUGUCCUGCUUGCUGAAAAAUGACUGCUCUGAGCAGAUAAUAAAGCGUGCUAUCACAAUAGAAGAGCUACUCAGAAAGUUUUCCUGAUCACGUAGAACCAAAGGUCCUAUUGUGGUUAAAAUGAUGGCGUUUGUAGAGGAGCAUUGUAUAUUUCACUUCUUCACGUCCAGUCUGAAGAUUGCAUUAUGUGUAACUGGAGAGAUAAUAUCAUAGAGAAAAUGACUGCAGGAGUCAGGAGUAGUAAAGCUGCUAGUCUAUGCUUAUGAUGUUAAUGUUUUGAAUUAACAAACUGUUAAUGAAUUCACAACAUGAUAUCCUAUUUAUUGUGCUUUAACUCUGGAAAGCUCCCUUUUAUGCAUCUUUGGUUCAAGUAAGGGCUAAGCACUUGUAGCUUUUAUGGGUUUCAUUAAGAGUCAGAAAUGCUCAGAGCUUCUGAAACUGAGGUCAAAUGAUCUUCUCUCUGGCAUUUAGUUGCAUAUGGUGUGGGUACCUCCAUCUUAUCUCCUUAUUUCAACUUCAGUUGCAGUUAGCUGGAGAAUAGUACGUACUUAGAGGUGUGAUUAAAUUUAUCACAAUGAAAGGCAUCUGAAAUACUCUUGUGUAAGUGCCCACUUCUGUUCACAGACUGUAAAGUCUGGAUGAAGCAGUUAAAAAGUUAACCAAGAUUCUUCUGUGUGUGUGCCUUGAGCUGAGUAACUGAAAUCAGGGAGUUGUUCUAGAAAUGUUAGACUUGGCUUUUCUGGUUCUGUCUGUGAAAUGGAGGCACUACUUUGUUUUGUACGUUGUGAGAAAAUUGCAGAAUUGCAAAAACAGUUUGGGCUGGAAAAGACUUUAAAGACCUUCCAGUUACAACCCACCUCCCACUAGAGCAGGUCACCCAAAGCCUCAUCUAGUCUGGCUUUGAACACCUCCAGGGAUGAGGCAUCCACAGCUUCCCUAGGCAUCCUAUGCCAGUGCCUCUCAACCCUCUGAGUAAAUAUUUUUUUCCUAACAUCUUAUUUAAAUCUGCCCUUUUAUUUUAAAGCCAUUACCCCUUGUCCUAUCACUGUACUCUCUGUUAAAGUAUCCCUCUACAGUUUCUUGUAGAACUACUUCAGGUACUGGAAGGAUGCAAGGAGGUCUCCCUAAGGCCUUCUCUUCUCCUGUCUGAACAAGCCCAGCCCCCUCACUUCACAGGAGAGGUGCUCCUGCCCUCUGAGCAUCUUCGUGGUCUCCUUUGGCCACUCUCCAACAGCUCCAUGCUGAGGGUCCUAGGGCAAGAUGCAGCACUGUAAGUGGAGCCUCAUGAGAGCAUAGUAGAGGGAAUCGCUUCCCUCUCCCUGCUAGCCACACUUCUUUUGGUGCAGCCCAGGAUACAGUUGGCUUUCUGGGCUGCAAGCACACACUGUCAGCUAAUAUCAAGCUUUUAAUCCACCAGUAUCCCUAGGUGUUUCUCUACAGGGCUAUUCUCAAUCCAUUGUUUCCCAGCCUGUAUUUGUGCUUGUGAUUGUCCCUACCCAGGAGCAGGACCUUGCACUUAGCCUUGCUGAACCUCAUAAGGCUCUCACAGGCCCACUUCAAGCCUACCGAGGUCUGUCUCGAUGGCAUUCCUUCCCUCCAUCAUCUCAAUUGCACCACUCAGCUUGCUGUCGUCUGCAGGCAUGCCGAGGGUGCACUCAGUUCCCCUGUUCAUGUCACCAACAAAGCUGCUAAACAGUACUGGUAAGAUAGACUUCUCUUAAUUAGUACACUGUGUAUAAGGGUAAGAGUUCUUGUUAACUCCUAGAUGGUUUGCAUUUACAUUUUGUGAGCUCUUUCUACUUUUACACGUAGUAUGAGUAAACAUUAGCACUGAAUGAUUGUGUCAGUUUGUCUCAGCAUGAGUACCAUACACUAUUGCUAAAUUUGGCUUUAUAUGAAUUAUUUGUCUCUCUUAAAUAAUUAGUACUUCUAAUCUACUAGAUCUGGUCCUUAGGGUUUUGGUGGACAUUAAUUUGUACAUUAAAAGACUGAUUUUAAGAUAACGUUAUUGGUUUGGAAAAGUUAUACAAACCAAUAUUUGCUUAGCAGAGCCCAAGCACAGAACAAACUGAAUGAAACAGAAUGGCUUCUGUGGCAGGAGUGAGGUGAUGGAGAAGGAAACAACUAUCCUUUAUCACAUGUACUCAGAACUGUAGCUGAAGUCAAAUAACGACAUGUAAAGAGAUACUAGCACGCUAUGCCUAGCUCUCCUGGGACUGGAAGGCAAUUGUUUCAUAAAUCUACUGGUACCAUAUUUAGCCUUAUUCUAAAAUCUUUUUCAAAUGUCUGCAAGGAAAUCUUCAGAUGUUUGAAGAAUUUUGUCCUCUGAUGAGGAGAUUCUUAAGAAAAUGAGUAGGCUUUAAAAUUAAGCAAAGAUUGUUAAGAGAACCUUUGAUAAGGAAUUUUAAGAAUCUGAGAGAAAGCACUUUAAUAAUACUGUUAGAGUAAUUUUCAUCAGUCUUACUACACCCAUGUGCAGUAUUUCUACUCUGUAAACUGGAGCAUAUUUAUUUAAAUGAUUUGCCAAAUAUCUUAUCAUGGGUAAGUGGCAAGCUGCAAAUGGAACCCAGGAGUCCUAAUUUGAUUUCUCGUUGAAUUCAAAGACAGUAUUCAAAGCCUCUGAAAGAAAAACACUCAAGAAUUCAACAGUAACACUGCGUGAGGAGUCUCCCAUUUCAAUAAAUGUGUGGUUAUGAUAUGCCUGUACUUCACUGACCAAGGUCCCUGAGGUUGCUUUCAAUCCAAACCCAUGUCUCCUUUGUGGGUGCACAUUGCACUACCAGAUCUUUCAGUGCUCUGAACCAAAAGUCUUGUUCUUAAUGGACAUACUGGGGAAAAUACAGCCAUCUAAAAACACCACCAUUGCCAGUGAAAAAAGCAAGUAUGGGUGAAAUAAAAUCUGUAGAUUCAUAUGAAGCAAGCUGCAGCUUGAAUGCUUCUAUCAGUGCUGGGUUUGUUUUGUUUUGUUUUGUUUUGUUUUAGAGAAGUGAAGAUCAGACAGCAGAGGAUAUUAUUUAUCUUAAAACUCUGUUCUAUCUAUUUGCCAUCUCUGUGAGAUCUUGAAUAAAUGUAGAUAAGUCUCAGUAUUUUUAAAUUUGUAUUUUGAAUUUGACAGCACACUGGAUGAGCUUUACAGAGAGGUAUUUCAGUGAGAGGUUUUUGAGAGAAGGCUCUUCCAGUCAGCUUGUCUUCCCAGUAUUUUUUGCAGUACGUGAUGACAAAAGGUGAGAGCAAGAGCAAACAAUAACCAUCUUAGGAAAUCUUGGUAAACAUUUGAAAUCAGUAGGUUAAGUUGGCUGGUGUAAAAGUGUUGUGUAGAUCUAGUCCAUAAAAUCCAAUCUCAUAAUCUUGAAAGGAAAAUUCAAGAGUCAGGGAAAAUGCAGUUCAACUUGAUUUGCACAGUCAGGACUUUUGUUUGUGAACUUCUGUCAGGACUGAUCUCAGUAUUUAUAUAAAAUAUAAAACUGAUGUUCUUCCUUAGAAUUCCAGUUUCUGCCAGAGUCAGAAGAAAUACUGUGUGUUACAGCCAGUUUACUUUGCAGAGAUAGAGUAUGAAUUUCCUCAGCCAAGACAUGGAGAGCAUAAAGAGGAAUUCUGCGAGCAGUUUCUCAUUAAUAUCUAAUUUUGUGUUUGUUUGGCCAGAAACAGAAGGAAUUUGAUUUUCUUACAUUUGUGCUGAAAAUAAGAAGGUCUGAAGAAUAGAUGGAGAGGUACAGCUUAAUACACAUGCACUAGCUGUCUGUACAGUAAGUACGCAGUGCUUUUGCUUAAACAUGGGUAUUUGGUACAACUUGAUACGCCUUCUGACCUCUUGCUGCUUUUCUCAGAAGCCAGGUAUCUCAGAAGUGGCCGGUCAUAUUUGCUAGCUGUGUCCAAAUAUGUUGAAGCUGUAAGGCUUUUGCAGUGGAACUUGAUAACUACGUUUAAGCAAAUGAUUUGAGCUCUAAAAAUAAAACUUUGCACAUUUGUAACCACCUCUGGCACAUAACUUAGUGAUGAUAAUGCUACCAUGGUUCAGGAGGAAUCCUUUUUCUAGCAGUUAUUAGAGGUGAGCAUACAGAUGAUAGAUGUAGACCAGAUGAUUUCAUUAAUGAUUACUUGAUUACACUGGUGAUCCUCUGGAAUUUUAGGUCAGCAUAUAGGCUGGGAUUUUUACCUAUAAAUAACCAUUCUGUGUGCAAUAUAUGCAGUGUGUGGGAUGGACAGUUAAGAAUAAUUAGUGUACAGUUUUAACUUAGCUGACACACUUAUGCUGAGUGAAUGAAUAUGACUUGAGUUCUCAGAUUGCCAUGCAUUCAUGCUUACUAUUAGUAGAAAAAAAAAUCUGUAAGUUAAAUUGUUGCAUUGUAACUUCUGUGUAACAGAUGUUUUUAAAAAGUGAGAAUUCAAGCCCAUGUUAUUGAAGUCUGUGCAAGUUAAGAAGAUGUAUUAAAUAUCUGCAGUUCAUUAAAUUCUCUAGCAUAAAGAAAAAAUACAUAUUAUCUGAAGUUACUCAAAGGAUUAUACUAUAUAUUUUAAAAUUCUAGGUAAUACGUAAUGCAUAUUGAUCUUGUCAUAAUUUUACAGGUGUCAUUAGUGGCAUUGUUUCUUUUUAGCUGAUAAUGCAAGGCUAUAUAUCAUGUCAGAUCAGUAAUUAUAUGAAGCCAUCAGUUUGGUUUUCUGAGCCCUUUUUUUAUUUUUGAAGAUACAAUCCUUAGUAGAAGCAAUGCUGUGAAGUAUGAAUCGUUUUCUUCUAUUUCCUGCAGUAGUACUCUUCUACAGCUAUUUUCUAUCAUGAAAAUAAGCAUAAUGACUUUCAGAAACUUUCUCCUCUGCCCUUAUUCCAGCAAACCUCCCAUUGACUUCUGUAAGUAGAGACCAAAUCAAGGGUUAGCAAGAUACUUCAGGAUUUUAUGCUCUAUUUAAAGGAACUUGGAAGGAUAGAUUUCUUUGGUGAUGAAAUCUGAGGAGCUCUUAAAUACUGCCAACUGUUUCUUAACCUUUUCCAGAAAGCAAGCUAUAGAUACUUUCUCAGAAACCUGUAUUUUGUUGAUGAUCAGGUCUGAAGGAUUUUGCUUUGUGAAACUUCACCUAGAACCGGACCUGGAGAAAAGAGAUUACCAGGAUCAGUUUGUUUAUUUUAUUCUCUGAUGUGUUAGUGUUCCAUACUGGACAGUUACAUUUGCUGCCUUUAAUACUUGUUUUCAUUUGGUCUACCUUGAUAAAGACAAAGUUUUAUGGUCUUUGCUUACACUGUGAAAUGUAUUUUGAUUGUACACAGUUUUCAGUGAAUUUGGUGAGGACUCUGUCCAUUAAUUUCAUGACUAAAUGAUUUAUUUUCUGUUCAAUAUUCAGGAGAGGAAAUAAGAAGACUGAGGUUCGCAUCCCCUGUUGUCCUUGGAUCAUGGUGUAGACUCUGGCCAACUAUUUCUGAUGCAGAGGGUUUAGUAACUUUGAUUAAUUCAUGAUCACAGAGUGCUUUGGGCUCCUGGGAUAAAAAGCAAAAUAGAAUUGCAAAGCGUUAUUAAUGGAAAGUAUGCUUGACAUGCUUAGUAUACUAUAUUAAAUAUCGUUUGGGGUUGAGUACAUUACAAGAGUGCGAGUAACUCAGCUGAAGGUAGUUAUGGUGAUGUCUCUAAUUGAGAGAAACAGAUUCUUAAUCAGUGUAUCACAAUUACAGCCUUCAUGGUAACUUCGUGGUUAGGUUUAUGGAUCAAUUUUAUUCAUCUGAAUAACAUAUGGCCUAGGAACUAGAUGCUGACAACAUCUUCUGAGUUUGGGGAACAUAUGCAGUUACUUCUGGUAUUGAUGUCUGGGAAUUUCUUUUCCUCUCUUAUCUGGACUUAACAAGCCUUCAGUUGCCAUUUAAUUUCAAAGAGCAACACCAUUCAAUGAAGCAUGUAUUCUCCCCUUCUCCUAGUCGUUGGUAGUAGAAAUUUCUGUUUCAUUAGGAACUCUGUAAAAUAUAAUGAAUUCUGGAUAUAUUUACACUGGGACAAAUCUUGCUUUGGCUUGUAGUAAUACAAGAUUUUCCACUGUGUCCCAAAGACAGGAUUCGGCAUUUUAGGGUCUGUUCCUAUGUUGUAGGAAGCAGUGAUGGAGCACUCUGUGAAAUCAUGGGUACGUUACAGCACCAACUUUUCUUCAGAGUAGCUCAGCUACAAAGCUCUCUUAGUGGAAUUUCAGUAUUUAUGCAUAAUGUGAGAACCAGAGGGAUGUGCACAUCUACAUUAAUAUUUUGCUUUGCUGGCAAUGGUUGCAGUUUUAAUGAAAGUGUCAUAAGACCUGGUGUUUUCCGUAAAAAAUCCACUCUUGAAGUAAACAGAUAAUGUCAAGAACCUCAGUUUUUGUUUGUAAAAGUUUCUAGUUCUCAUGAUUGGAAAGAAGACACUGAAUCAUGAUCAAAGCAUAACAGAGAGACUUAGAAAUGAGAAAAAAUAUAUAAAUAUAAAUAUAAAGCCUGGUACUUAUUAGAUUGCUUAAAAUUUUUUUAAAAACAUGUUUAGAAUUUUCAGGGGGGAAAUGGUGAAAGACGGAAGGGAAACAGUAUGAGAUCAGCAUUGGCGGAUCUCAUUUGCACUUCAUUUUGAGUUUGGUCUGAGAAAUAGUUUCAUGGUCUGAAUACCAGCUCUGAAAUUCCUUCAAGUUGAGUAUCAGCAGCAUAACCUGGAAUAAAAUUCACACCUUCACACCUCUAUAAAGAACUACAUUAGUGAGGUUUUAUUACAUAUUUUGCUAGCCAUUUAAACAAAGAUUGCUUAAACUAUGUACUGUCUGUGCCUGUGUCCAUUCACGGAAAUGUCUGUGUUACUUAUCAGUGUUUCUAUUAGUUGACCAAGAGGUGCACUCGUCGUUCAUUUGUGUGGUGUUUCUGCUUCUCUGCCUGUUUGCUUGGCUGGGUUUCCUUUUCUCUCCACGCUCACAAGUACUUGGGUAGUGAAAGUACUUUCACUAGUACUUGGGUACUAUUCCAAAAGCAUUAUUUUGUUACAUUGUGCUGGUUUAAUUCUUUAAAUUAAGACUGUAUGUAUUGGUACAAGGUAUCUACCCAUUCAGACUCUAGUUGUUAGGAUUGCUGUAGGAAUUACUGGAUGAAAAUCAGAGUCCUUUAUUGUAAGAGAACUGUACUGCAAGAUACUGAGGGUCUUCCGUGGCUUUGAAAGCAAUGAAAUAGCUUUCAAGAUUUAAAACAAGUGUUUAUGAAUAAUGUUUUUUUUCUCUCCGAAUUCCAUUACAAAAAUAACAAUAACAAUAAAACUGCAAAUAAAAUAGUUUGUUUGCCUAGGGAAUUGUUUAGUUUGUUAUUUGGAUUGUAGUGCUGCCCCAGUUCCCAAACAGAAUUAGGGUCUGUUUGUAGUAAAUGUUUGAGUAGAAAUUAAGAGAUUGCCCCUGCUUUAGAUCUUCAUAAUCUUCAUCAGAGAUUCAUACAAAUGAGAGGAGACAUUGCUAUAGGCAAAAUGUCAAAGGACAUUUUGGAGAUAAUCCUGUUGUAGAGAUGGGCCAAGCUAUUCCAAGGCAGAUUUGAAUCAUGCAGACUGUGGUAGGCACAGUACCUGUUCUGUGGAUGAAACAAAACAGUAUUAAGCGAGAUUCUUUCAUUUUUCCUUUUCCCUUUUCCUUUUUUUCCCUUCUCCUUUCUUCUUUCUCCUUUCCAGUUUUCCCUUUCUCCAUCCUUUCCUCUUUCCUGUUUCCCCUUUCUCCAUCCUUUCCCUCUUUUCCUCUUUCCUUUUCUUUUCAUUUUCCUUUCUCCUUCCCCUUUCCUUUUCCCCUUCCUUUCCCAUUCCAUUUCCUUCAUUCUUUCCUUCUUUCCUUUGGUUCUUUAUUUUUUAAAUGCUGAAGAUCUUAAAGAAUUCUGCUGAAAAAUUGACUGUCAGAGUGAAUAUUUCUGAUAUUCAGCUGACAGUUUUGCACUUAAAAAAAAAUUGUAAUGCUGUCAGUAAAAGGAUUUUUUGCAAAACAAAAAAAAACUCAUUCAGCUGCAAAUAGAUUGUAAUUGAAUUUUUCACACACACACACAUAUAUAUAUUUUAAUUAGCCUUUGUUGGGGAAAAAGUUGGAACCUAGUAAUAAUACCUGUGACUCACCGGUUUCUUUAACUGACAUGGCUUGAAAACUUGUUGAAAAGAACCUAAAAAUGCCUAUCAGUUUCUAAGGGCAAAUACAAGUCACCCACCAUACUCUUUUUCAAACUUUUGGCAUUCCUAUUGGAGACACCUAGAUCUAACCAGAAACAGUGCUUUCUGCAGCAGGCUACAGGUGGAGAUUAUGUCCAGAAUUUGAAGUCAGAUCCUAACUGUUCUGUAAGUUUUGUUUCUCUUACACGCGAUUUUUUCUGUUUCCUAAAUAGAACAGUUCCUUGCAGGAGAAAAUCCAAAGAGAGAUCCAGUUCUUUUCCCUGCCUUGCUUCCACCUGUAGAUAAUCUCCUGUGAGUAAAUUAGGGCCUAUGCCAGGAAUGCUGCUUCCCCAGCCAGCAGCAUAAGGAAAAUGUCUGGCUGUGCAGAGCCAGAUUUCCCAUCUCUGUGUUUAUUAAAGUUAGAAGGAGAAAUAAGAGCUUUGGAAACCUAAAAAAUAAAAUGAAAACAAACAAAUUAAAAAAUGCAUCAGCUGGCACUUGAUGCUAGAAAUUUUAUAUAAUGCUGACACAGAAAUGAGGUCUUCAGCUUAUGUUUUCAUCCAGUAAGUAUUAUAGCUCCCUGAAAACUCGAAACUCUUUAAACUUCAUUUGCUAGACCACCUUAGACCAGUUAUGAAGCUACUGUCUUUUUCCUAAAAUCAGGUGGAUGUUUUUGGACCCUGAGGGAUAACAGCGAAGCUACAGAGGAAAUAUACAGUCUGCCAGAUAGUUACGAUGCAGUUUAGGAUGAAGGGAGCUGUAUGCUAACAGAUCUUAAAUAAUAAUCUGCAUACUGCCACAGAAAGACACAGAAAAUUUAAAUCAAUCUGAAAUCCUUCCAGCUAAAAAUAAAAUAAAGGGAAUGGUGCAACUUGGUGAAUGUAUCUUGACCUCAUGCUAUUUUUACAAGUCAGACAGAUGUGCAGCCACUGAUAAGCUGGUACCCAGGACUAGCUAUCAAAUCAGAAAUCUGUGGACUCACUCUUCAAAUCCCAGCACUAAUCGCAAUGAUAAAGAGCUACCUUUCGAUUAAUCCUGCCCUGGACUUUAGACGAAAGAUACUGCAGUUUAAUUACUGAGCGAAAUCCACUUUGUCUGAUCUGCCAGUCUGCACUGUAAUGUCAUAAUAUAAUCAGCUUCACCCCUGUCUGAAGCUCCAGGGCUGUGAAGUCCAAGGACUUGUUUGAUUGGAAGAAAUAAAACGAUGUUCAAACAACCACCAGCCACAGUGCUGUAAUUAUCAAAAUCUUGUUUGCAUCUGUCUGUCAUUUUUGCCACUGUUUUUUUAUGACACUGAAAGGCAAGGAGAGAUUGUGGUGGAUAAGAACAGCGACCUGACAGAUGACAAAUAAGAUGUGGGAGGGUUUGCUUGGAGAAAAUAAUCAUUGUAAAAUAUUCAGGCUAAUUAAACUGGGUCUCUUUCUUAUAUAUUUCCCAUCGGCUUCAGUGACACAUGCAGGUUCAAGCAAAGCCAGCCAUUGGUACUGUCAUCUCAUAAUUAAAACCUGUAACUGAUCUGGGAGUGUCUCCAGCAGGGGUUCCAUUGAGGGGACAGAACAUGUCGGUGAGUGAGAAAUACAUUUUUACCCAUGUGAGAGCUGCAGCAGGGCUGCCAAUGUGUGCAGUGUCCCCUACCUCCAACAGCAGUGGGCACUGGCCAUGAUUUGAAGAGACCAUUUCUUCAGAUAGAGGAAUUGGUCCUGGCUGACUGGUAGGAAUCACCGAAUGAGUCUUGAACAGAUGUAGCUCUUGGCUCCCACAGCUCUAUGGGUCUGCAUAACAAGUUCCACUAGAAGCAAAGGGAGGGUUUAGGGUGCUUUUGCUCUCUUAGUGUCAUGCCUUUCGGUGUCUUUCUCCCCAACCUGCUUUGUUCAGAGUGCCUCCAAGGUGUGUCAGUAGCAAUGUCUUUUCAGUGGACCACACAGAAGUUCAUUACCUGCUUCAGACUUGUUUCACAGCACUGGCCAUAUACCAAUUGGGCAGCAGUAAUGUCCUGUUACCUCUAACCACAGCUGUACUGGGUCACUAAAAGAAGGUGAGAAGAUUUAAGUUUUCUAACACAUGCUUUGUUUGGAUAUCUUUGUGGUGAUUCAGGGAGGUUAUGACAGUGGUAUAGGAAGAAGCUGGCAAAGCUCUCAAAAAUAGUUUGCGUUCAUUUUAUUGCUAAGACAGAGAUGCUAAUGACCAGAGAAGGAAACAAAGCUUUCAUCUAGCUGCCCUUCAGGGAGGGCAUUCUAUCCUGUGCUGAUGAGGUAAAGUCUGACUGAUUUUCUUAGUGUCUUUUGACUGCUUAAGCUUUCUUCCCCCAGCCACCUUCAAGAACCUGAUAUAUCUCAACUUAUUUCUUAUUGUUCUACAUUCUUUGAUUUCUCUUUUAUAUCUGUCUUGGCUAUUUCUAGCUAGAUCUUCAUUUUCUCUCAUAAUGUAUUCCCUACAACCCAUGUCAUUUGAUUUGCAAUUAUUCUCUCUUCCACCCUUCUAGCAUGGAGAUCUCACCCUUUUACUCUUCUCCCAGCUCUACUCCCCUAAAAACACUUGCAAUUUCCAUCUCUAUCCAUCUGUUUCCAUAGAGUGAGCUACUUGACUAUCAGAAUGACAACUGCAGCUCGAUUAAGAUCCCUGUGCCACUUCCUCAUCAAAGGGCUGUCUUGUUCAGCACCUGUGACUAAAGAGGCCAAGCACAGGAUACCUCAAGGUAUUCUGGACUUAUAGCCUGUGGGUGGAUUUCUGUGCAAAGACCAGUUCUCUUCUGUACUGCAAAAUCAGAGCAGUGUCUUAGGGCAAAGACUGGGGAUGAGGAAGAAUAACAGACAGCGGUUGUUAGCUGUAUGUGUCUCUGUCUUAAACUUGCAAUGCAUUUACUUUCUUCCUCUUCCUUUUGUACCCUGUAGCUGACAGCGGUGCCUAGCAUCGCCUGUCAGCAGGGAUGGCAUACAGGGUGUUUUGCAAUGGAAAUCUGGCUUUAAACCUAACUGGGUUUGUCAUUAGUGUUUUAACUUCUGAAUAGUAUUUAAACAUUUCAGUCUAUGGACUGAGUUUCAGCAGGAUCUAUCCAGAAGAGGCUGUCUAGAGAAUCAUCUCUGAACCAGCUUUGACCAGCAGCAAUGACCCCAGUGCUCUAUUUGUACAGUACUUUUGCCCUCAGUCUAAUCCUUUACUUUAGAAAAAGAAAUGUCAGAAGGAAGAUGUGCACAGCUUCUUUUAAAUCUCAGGAGACUACUUUUCAGCAUGAAGGAGUCCAUCUACUUCCAAGGCCUUGCUAAUGCCAGCACACUGCACUGAUAUUCUUGCUUCCCAAGGGAAAAAUAGCAGGGGAACCUGAAAAAUAGUUGUAUGGGCAGUAACUACAGAAAUUAUUUCUUUUGCAAAUUAGAGGAUAGUGGAGAGCACAGGGUAGUGCAUAAUGGCACUUUAAAAGGAAGGAAGAAAUUAUUGUGUUUUGAUGAGAAUAUUCUUUCACAACUGGAGAAGGAUAUACGUGGGGGAGUGUAUGUAUAUAGUCAGGUGUUUGGUAUGCUUACAAGCAUGAAGAUGGGAAUUUUAACAUAUUGUCUGUCAUAUACUUUGGUGAGGUGUGUGAAGUUUUAUGUCUAUGAAACCAUACUGCAGCCUGGUUAAAACUUUGGGGCUUUUUGCAUAGAUAUGGCCUAGGUUAUGAGGGUAGCUUAGAGCUACCAACAUGUUAUUGCCAUUAGCACUUCUCAGAGUGCUGAGACUGCCAUUAGCACUUCUCAGAAGGCCUGACUUAGAGUAUUCCUUGCUGUAUACAUUGUUUGAGCCUCUUACCUGCUCUGGGAAAAUGAGUUUCUCUCCCUUUGCUCUCCAUCUCAGUGAUACUUGUAGGUCCCAGAUGUCUUAGAAUAAAUUCCCUGACAUCUUCCAAGAAACCAUGCUGCUAUUAGCUCUAGUACUGUGUGAAUUAAUGAGUGGGGUUUUUUGAUGUGCAAAAUCCAAGCAGUGAUGAUCUAUACUUAAAGGACAUAGCAGAGAUGGGAGACCAGGAGAAAUGGGAGAAGCAAGGAGAGGAGUAAUUUGAGGGUGGAUAGUAGAGAAAAAGGGGUAGACUCAUAUCCCAUCCUUCAUGGCCUAGUGAUGUCGUCAGUUCUGGUUCUUCAGUAUUUAUAUUCCUCAGCCCCCAAACCACUUGCUUAUCACAGAAAAAUAGAAUUGUUUGAGUUGGAAGGGACCUUUAAAGGUCAUCUGGUCCAUCUUCCCUGCAAUGAACAGGGACACCUACAGCUAGGUAAGAUUGCUCAGAGCCCCAUCUAGCCUGACCUUGAAUGCCUCCAGGGAUGGAGCAUCCAGCACCCUUUUGGGCAACCUCUGCCAGUGCUUCACUACCUUAUAACAAAAGACCUUUUCCUUAUACCCAGUCUAAAAGGCUUAUUCACAACCUUGUACUCAUAAGCCUUACCAUUUAGGAAUCCAUAUGCAUGUGGCUCACAAGAUCAUGUUUACGAGCACGUUUUCCCAGCUGAUCCUCAGUUCCAGCUACCCAAAUUCAUGUCCAGUUACCAAUAUAUCUUUUAUUCAUUCAGGAGCAUUUUAUUUCUGGAUAAAUGAAAGCAGAAUUUAAUUCAGAAAAAUGAUAAAUUUUGAAAAGAUUAGGUGAUGAAUUGAAAGAAUACAAAGUGCAAUCAGAUAUUGCUGGGCCCCAAAUGGCAUAAAAAACUUUAUUGAAAGUAGGGGAUAUUUGUAAAUAUCAGGAGCAAUUCCACUCAAAUAUGUGAAUCAAAUCUAACUCCUGGAGAACCAGGGGCAAGAGCUGGAUCUUAAGGCCACUCCUUGUCUGUGCAAGUUACUGGGAAAUAACUCAUUUUCUAAUUUAAAAUUGCAUCAUUGUGUUAUUGUUUUAGUUCUAGAGCUAUCGACAGGGUGUCAUUUCAUCACAAUAUCCUCUUUCUGCUUUACACAAAGACUUCGAUGAAGGGAAUUUUUUGUUCGCUUUUGAUGGCAGAGGUUGCCAUCUCUCCAGGGAGAGAUGCUGCUCAGAGAACAUAGGGAGGAGAGGAGCCACAUUCCCUGCUUAACAUACGGACCUGUGCAACAGCACAAGCUAGCUUCCCAUGAAGGCACUAAAGGGUUCCAUGACACAGUGGGGCCACCAGCUUUGGGAUUCACUAGAAAGCUCAUCUAGGUUCAUACUGCUUUCUAAAUGGAAGCUAAAGGGAGACUGAAUUUAAGCCCAUGACAUUCUGCAAGAGCAAGCAGAGAGUUAAUAUUUUUGGCCUUUGGUCCCUCCAAUGCUGCUAACAAUAUUUUAAGGGCAGAAGGACACUACUAAUUGUGAUGUAACUUGAAUGAUUUCAUCGCCCUACUCCUCUCACUCAGUUGGGACAUUCAUCAGCUUUCUGGUCACUGCUGACCUGGGAUGCCAGCAAUCUGGCAAUCCUAUAAAGCAGCUCAACCAACUUGGAGAUGAUUUAUCCACUCUGGUUCAUAUCUGUAGAUAUAUAUAUAUAUUUUAUCCGUGUAUGUGCGGAACACGCUCAUGCUUAUAAUUGUGUGGAGACUUUCAAUUUUGGUGUGCUUUAUAUGUAUAUAUACUUAACAAAAACAGAACAAAACCUGACUGAACUACAUCAUGUCAAAGAUGAGGAAAAAAUCUCAUUUUAACAUCUUGUUGCCAAUCCCCUAAUCUAUACAUUUUUCUCUAAGCCCACUGCUCUAGUAAAUAAUAAAAUAUCCUUUUGGGGAAUGUUAUCAGUGGUAGAAUCUUCCUCCCCUUUAGCAUGAAGAGCAGUUGAGAAACCAGAGGGGCAGCUUGCAUGGCUGCCAGAGCCUCAAUUGAAUUCAUCCACAGGUCUAAAGAGAUCAAAAUUGUUUGAAUUGAUCCUUUCUGUUGCUUCUGUGAAGAGAAAUCCCUUAAGCCUUUUGCUUUCUUGUCAUGUACAGUCUCCCUUUGUCAGUUCAUGUCCAAGGUCCCCGUUUUCAUUUUUUCUUAGGGAUAGCAGGAGCUCUAGCAAUAUCUGUCUUUAUAAUGUCUGCACUGAGAGAGUAAGAGACCGAGUGUGAGGCUGUGGGGAGAAGGAUAAAAUACACACGGUGAGCAUCUGACCCCUGAGAACCUUACACUGUCUCUGAGAACCGCAACCUUAUCAGGCAUCACAGUUGUGGCUUCUGUGGCAAAGGAUGACAACAAAAGCAACUUUGCCCACCACAAUUAUUAUUCAGAUUUGAGACCUGGGUUUUAAAACAAAUGCAUUUGGAGCAGAGAUGUGGAAAGAAAGAGAAACACGAGUGUUGCUUAUUGGGGGCCCUGCAGACAGAAAAUUAUUGUGUUUCUAACACUAUUGAUUUUGUGCAGCAGCUGAUAUUUCAAUCUGGGUGCAGCAUGUCUGAGAGUCUACGCACACUGUCAAGAAGAAAUAUGAUAGUGUCUUAAAAGAUUAAUAAUAUCGCUGGUCCUCAGGAGGCUUGUCUUAAUUCACUGGCCUGUUCCUUGGCAUGUACUGUAAUUUAUCUAGUCUGAUUUGAAUAGCAAAUGGCAAUCGGCUGCCAUUAGGGAAAUAGGCAUCAGUCUUAUUGAUCCAGGAUGGGCUGGAUUUUAUUUAAGGAGAGCUGCAAAAUGUUAUUAACUUCCGGAUGAGAGGCUGCAGGUGGAGAAUUUUUUUGCAGUGUUCCAAGGGAAGGAAAUUGCACUGAGUCUUGAAAGUCUUGAAAUAGAUAGGAAGAGGGGAGGAUGUGGGAAGUGGGGCAUCAACUGCUACCCAUUUGUUUCCAGAGAAACCCAUUAUUUCCAACACAAAUAUUUGUUUUUCAGGGCUCUUUGUAUGAUUUUGUCAGUGAGGGACUGAGUUAUCUAUGAGUGAAAGCAUUUGGUGAGAAGAAAGUGUGGUGGUUGAUAUUCCAUGUUGAUUGAGAUACAGCUGGAGCUGCGUAAAUGGUUUGUUUUCCAGUCCCCCUUACUGUGCUUAAUAAGAGCUACACAAUUAAUCUCCAGACAUCACGCGUAAUAUGUACUCCUUCUUACAGUCUGCUGUUUGUGUGUUUAGAGCUGCCACCAGUGCUACCUAAGGAGAGUGGCUGAUGUUACUGGGAGGGAGAUAUAACCCCACAGCUGUUGUUGAGGUUUGGUCAUGGUUUCCUGUUCAUACCAGUCCUUGUCUGAAAUAACUGUGAGGAAAAAAAGCCACCGUGUUUGGGUAAUCUUUCAGUGCUGCAAAUCUUCUAGGUAAUUUUUUCAGUGGAUGUUAUUGUUAAAUAUCAUGCUAGAGCCAUGAAUGUGAGGAAAGCAGAACUGGUGCAAUUCCAGACUCUAGAAAAAAAUAAAUUGUUUGGCAUGAUGAGGAUCCUGAAAACUAAGUUUAAAGAAGUAAAAUUGCACUGAAUACUUUGGAAAACUUCCAGUCUCAUGACAUGUCACAGUGAGAUAACCUCCCCAGGGAAGGGGAGAAUGCCCAGCUAUUUGACAUGCUUUGAAGUAAGACUAAGACGAACAUCAAAAAAAAAAAAAAAAAAAAAAAAUUAAAAAAAAAUAAAAGAAAGGAAUAUCCUAAAAGGAAUAAGGAAUACCCUUACUCAGGAGGGAGGAUGGAGGAAAUGAUUAAAUACCAUAGAUCUCUCCAACCUUAAUUGCUGUAAUUCUUUGAUACACCACACUCUCCCAGCAGGAAUCACCUGAAAGGAAGAUUCAGGAGUGCUGUCUAUUAAAAAGCUUAUAGAUACUUCAGUUCCAGCAGGAGGCACUUUAAGGAACAGUGGAGGAGUGUCGUGUGGAGGGACUUCAGACUGGUGUCCUGGGAGACCAGCACUCUGGGGAGUGGUGCAGGAAUGGCAGCUCCCAGCCCUUGUGCCAGGUUCUGCAGGAGGCACCAGGAAGGAAUCACUCUUUCAGGAGAUGGGAAGUACAUAAUGGAGAAAGGGUUGGGGUAGGGAGGAUGUCCACAGAUGGUCAGCGUUAGCUUUUGCCUUUCAGAAGCUUCUCGAGGCUCACAGGGCAAUCUCACAGCAUUUUCCACCAGCACUCACAACAAGGAGAAAAAGGUGUGGGAAUAUUUCAGAGAAUUAGCUUCUUGCUUCAUGCAUUUCUUUUGCACCUAAAAUAUGGGCAUAGGCAAUAAAGCACUACAGGAAAUGGCCAAGCACAAAAGCAAUAAAAUAAAUUGAAACUGACUGUGGUUUUUUUUUUUUUUUUUUUUUUUUGAGCAGCAGUAAUUGCUAUACAUUGUGAUGUUUGCAUAAGAAAUUAGUUAAUGUGUAGGAGAAUGACAUGUGAUACAUUUUAUUUGCCCGAUGACGGUAGUCUCUGAGUGAAUGACUUAUUAAGGUUAAUAAAAAAAAUUUUGCUUGUGACUUGUAAUAAUCCAAUUGCUAGAAUUUAACAUCCCCUCAUGCAUAGUUGCCUAAAGGAGGGAAACUAAAUUACACAUACGUUCUAAUGACCGACUGGCUAUGCUUUUAUUUAUUUCUUAAUGGCGAUUUGAGAACAAACAAUGUGUUCUAAAUUGUUGGUCUGUCUGUCUUUCUGCCUGCCUGGGCAGGAACGUUAUGGCUUUCUUAAUUCUCCUGUGUGAUUUAUCAUCUCCAAUUCAUUGUUUUGCAUAACUCUGCUCAAAAUGAAGAAAUGUCAUUAUUUUGCAGUGAAAAAGUUGUCAUUUGCAUAAUGCCUGCCAUUAAUUAUUGUGAGACUAAUGCAGUUGUUGAUAUUUUUAGGGCACAGUGGUACAUCCUGCACCUUGUAUAAUGUCAUUCUGAAAACAUUGGUAGUUAAUAGGUGCCACAACACUGCACAAGUGCAAGAAAAGAGGAGGCAAAAAAAAAAAAAAAGGAAGGGUAGAGAAUGGAACAGGCUGUGAUCUUUACUUAGCUUUUUCAUUUCCUGAAGUACAUGGUGGGAGACAGCUACAAACAGAAGCAAGAGAUAGGAAGCUGUGACCCCCAAGGGGAUGAGGGAAUGAAGAAAGUGAAAUGCUCCCUUCUACACGUUAGUUGAGAUGGACUAACUAAAACUGCCUCGUGCUGGUGAUCCCUGGAAUAUGAGAAAAUUCAUGGAGGUAGUUAGUGACUGUUAUCCCAUAUCUGGUGCUUUUCCCCCUCGGAGAAGCCUUCUGUUAUUUGUUUUAGUGGCUUAUUUAUUUUUACGUUGGAGUUAUUUUAUGAUUUCAUUUCAAACAUAUAAAGUGAAAAUCCCUGCAUAUACAUAACAAAUAUUAUUUUAUAAUGGCCUUUGCGUCUGUGAGGAGAGAACAAAACAAACAGAUCUGACCCCUAUUAACAAUUUAAUAAAUCUAGUUAUUGAAGUAUAGUUCUUGAUUUCAUCUUUGUGGAUGAAGUUCACUGCUAUUUGAAAGGGUCUCUUGAUGCCAGCCACCAGCAGCUGGAGAAAAAUAUCCCUUCCCAGUUAGAAUUGUACAUUGCCAGAGGAAAACAUCUUUUUCAUUACUUUUUCAUUGUAAAGUUAGCUGAUUUGGCCUACAGAUAUUGGAAGUGGGAAGAGAGAAGAGCAACAUUCUAGGGAUCUAUAAGUUCUGUACAUUGAGAACAUGAAGCUGGACUUUUUCCAGUGCUUUUCCCAAGAACUUCCAUUGCUCCUGAAGUACUUAAGAUGUCAUGUUUUCUGAAUAACGUGCAUAGUAAAUAUAAAUCAUAAUAAUCAAGUGAAGCAAACACUUGAGACACUUGAGUCUCAGGCUGGCAGAAGCUUUCCUACAUGUCUUGUUCAACUAGCACUGCUGCUGCAAGAUAGUUCAAAUGCAAUAGGCUUUCUUCUAUGCCUUUUUUUCCUUUUUGGCCCUUAAGCAGAGAAUGUUAGUGAGCAUGCUAAUGAAGAGAAGUUCGUUCAGAAGGCCUGUAUCAUCAUAACUAUGGCUUAGUGUAUAUUUAGCAGGAAAUAAAAAGCACUAGGAUCCUUCGCUAUUCUAUAAGAUUGCUAGGUCCUCUCUUUGUUUGCUGACGUGUCUUAAAAUGCCAGAAAGAGGAAAAAAUGGCGAUUUACUCCUCAGAUACUGCAUUUCACUGCCUCCAAAGGGAUGUUGUUUCUUCUCCCAUUUUCUGCUAUUAGAAUUAAAACAACAACAAAGAAAAUUAAACCACAAAAGUUCAAAUAAUGCUAAAGAGUCUAACUGAAUCCCACAAAGAGCAGGAAAUUCAUCUCCAAACAUUGCCAGUCUGUCCUCAGCUCACCCUAUUGUCACAGAGAACUGAAAGUUGUUCCUACAGUGGGUGAUCUUACCAACCACAAAUGCUGCAAUAUGUAGUCACAAUAGAAAACAAUAGAAGAACAGAGAUGGAGCUUUACUCUUGGUUUCUUGGCUUCAGUAAGCAUAAAAUGGACUCAUAGUGUACAUUAGGGUAGUUUUCUGUGUGUUUUAAUGUGCUUGGAGCACAAGUACAGUAUGAAGUGUAUUUCACAAGGUUGUAAUUCAUAGUCAUGAACUAAAUCCCAACAGUAAAUUGCAAUCUUUAACACUACAGAAAUAAUCCACGUGUCAGUUGUUAGUAUCUUAUACUCAUACAUACCACUGCCCAUGCUUUUUAGAAAAAUAUAAUAUAAAAUACCUCAUGUUGGUAAGAAUACUACAGAUAACCAAUCAGGAGGAGAAAUUUCUGCAAAACAUUAUAAAAACUAAGUACCAAAACUAAUAAUCUGAAUAUGUCCAAAGCCUUUGCAAAUCUAACAGCUUUUAACCCCUAGAGCAGCUUUUUCCACUUGGUCAGUGCCUGAUAUCCCUACCCUGUUGGAGAACUUCUCUGCUGUGGACAAACAGCAGGUCUGUUGGAAGAGCACGAAUCUUAAGAGUGCUUCUUCUGUAGGAUGAGUUCAAUAGUUGCUUGGCACUCUUUUGAAUGAGAAGAUCUAAAUUGCCUUCCUGUCUUUGAUAUACACUUCCUGUGUGGCCACAAAGAAGUCCCACCAUUUCUCUCAUAAUUUUCAUAAAUUAGGAAUUAUAAUCAUUCCAGACAUCUAAGGAUAGUGAGGAUUAAUUCAUGAAGAUUGUUGAGAUAUUCAGACAUUGUAGUGAUGAGUACCACAGAAAAGCCAGAAACAAAAAGCAUCUUAUUUCAUGAAAGACUUGGAUGCCACUCAGUAAACAAGGCUUGGGGCCACACACUGAACAGGGAGGAUAAAAAAAGAAUAUUUGAAUUAUUCUCAUUCCCUGGAUGCUAUCCAUUAUACAGAACACAAAAUGUAUAAUCGUAAUAUGUAAGACUGUACUGUAACAGUGCAGUUGUUGUGACAGACUUCAUCUUCAUAUUUUCUUACUUUUGAGUGCUUUUCUCUGUGACCUUAAUGUUUUAAGUUAGUUUUUAAAUGGUGUUUUUGGGUGUAUGAUGGGCAGUAGACUAACUGCAGAUCCUGGAGAAAUCAUUCCAUCAUCUGACUGUUGAAUACCCAUUAGAACCAAAGUAGCUAUCACUGGUGACUAAGGUAGAUGGUUUUUAACAGGAAUCAAUUCCACCAACUGGAUCACCAGCCAGCAAGGAAAACCUGCUGUAUCCAUAUCACAAGUUUCCCAAAAGAAUGCCUUGUUCUCUAAACAUUGCACUUACUGUUUCACUCUUAGGUCUUUGUUCUUAACAGAGAGUUUAGCUACCUGGGGAAGAUAUUAAUCAAUAUCCAGCGAGUUGACAAUGCGAUAGUAAAUCAUCACUUGCAACCCUAGUCCAUGUGCUCCAUAAAUUCAUUGUAAAGCCAGAAUCCCUGUGAUCUAUGUGUUAGCUAUCUUGAAGCUUAGCUGCUCUCUGAUAAAUUUGUCAGAUUGGUUCAUCCUGCUGUUUAGAAAGUGGCAGAAGAGCCUUCCAUUUCAUUGUGCAGAGUAAUGUGUUGUGCUUUUAGAUCUUUGUGUUUAAAAGCCCUGGUAGAUCUUACUGUUAAGAUUUUGUCCAAUUGUUUUUAGUAACCGUUUUUACUUUUGGCAUUGAACACAUCCCAUGCCAGUGAAUUCCACAAUUUAUUUACAUAUUGUGUGACAAAGCACUUGCUUUUGUUUGCCUUGAACCUAGUACUUGAGAACUUGUUUGGCUGCUUCCUAGAAAUAUGUAAUUAGAAUUUGGGAGCAGUUAUUAACUGUUCACCUUGUUCUUGUUUGUCAUGAUUUUAUAAAUCUCCUCUAUAUUUUCCUACAUAAUUUAUUUUCCAGGGCAAAGAACCCAACUCUUUUUCAUCUUUGUUUGUGCAGAAGUUUUCAAAAAAAUGUUUUGAACAUUUUUGCACUUUUCUCCAUUAUUUUAGGCUGCUUACAUCCUGUUUUGCAGUAGAAAUUCAAGCCUACAUAUAGUAUUCAGUAUGUGAAUCUAUUAUGGAUUUAUUUGAAGGGCGUAAUUAUCAAUUAAGUUUUAUUUUCUAUUUCUGUCUUAAUAUUUCCCAGCCUUAUCCUAAACCUUUACGAUCAACGCUGAGCAUUGAGCUGGUGCUUUCAUAGGCAUAUCCACAAGGAUUCCCUACUAUCUUUCCUAUGUAGUACCAGCUAAUUUGGAUUCUAUUGUGUUGCAUGAAUAUGUGGGGUCAUUUUCCGCACAGACAUUACUGUGCAUUAUUGAUAUUAAUUUUCAUUUUUCCCUUUGUUGUGUAGUUUCUAGGUGAUACCAGGUCUUUUUACAACAUUUCAGUUUUAGCUUUUGCCGUAUUUUUUUGUAUGAAGUGCAAAGUUUGUUGUGUCAGUAGUCCUGGUCUUUCCCCAGUCGUUUAAGAGCACGUUGAACACCACAGGUCUUAAUGCAAACUGUUGUGGGACUCUGAUAGUAGUUGUCUUCCAUUGCAAGAACUGAAUGUUUAUUGCUUCUAUUUGUUGUGCAUCUUUGAGACAGUUAUUAAUCUGUGAGGCUCUUUUCUCCUAUGUCAUGGUAACUCUCUUUUAGAGCCUUUUGUGAGGCUUUUCAAUUGUUUUUGCUUUUCUUUUUUUUUUAGCAAAUACCACUACUUGAAUCUCUUGCAGAUGUGCCUAUUGAGUCCUCAUGAAAACUCUGUAGAUUUGUGAAACAGGACUUCUUUCUGCAAAAAACUUAUGUUGUAUCUUCCCCCUUUUUUUUUUCUGCCCAAAUGUGUGUUAUUUAUUAUGUUUUCUACUGUUUCUAUGCUGUAGUUUAUAGACCUUCUGAACUAUGUGGGUCUUCCUAAAACCCUUUUUUAAGAUAGGCAUUAAAUCACCUUCUAUUCUUUUAGUGCCCACCCCAAUUAUGUGCAAGAGUUACGAGUUAAGUUCUUUCGUGUAUGACUUUCUUUAUAUCUGUUAGACUGGAACCAUUUUUUUCUUUCUGUUCCAUAUUUUCUCAGACUUUUCCUUUCAGAGAAAGGUUUUCACUUGCAAGCCUUUAUAAACUUUUCUGUAAUAAACACAAGUCCAACAAAUUUGAGCUUCUGUUCUGAGAACAUUUUUUUCACCUCAUUGUUGGCCUUACAGAUUCUGUGCAGGGCAUUUGGGAAAGUUGUUAAUGGUAUCUUCAGUAUUUUCUUGGGCCUACGUUAUUCUACAAAAGCUUUAUUAAAAAAUAAUAAUUUUAAAAAACACUCUUUAUUCAUUAAAUAUUACUUCUCCUCUUUGGAUGGUGUCUUUUUACUUCUAAUAAACCCUUUCAUUAGACUAAUUUAAAAAAAAAAAUUCCUAUUAGAGAUGUUCUUUCACAGGUGAUUAUGUAUUUGUUUUGUGAGUUUGAAGUAAUGACUGUAAAUGCUUUACCAUAGGGCAACUUUAAAAGUUCCUGCAUCUAAAGAUGUAUCAUGAUUCUCUCCUGGAGAUUUUUGCCCCCUUGCAAUGUAUUUUCAUCACAAGUGGCAAUCGAAUUAUGACAGUUUACAGCCUUGCAUAGUCAGGUAAAUCAAAAUGGUUUCUGGAUUUCUUUAGUACCUCAGGCUGUAAUUUGUUGUGCCUGCCAGACAAACUGCUGAGAUGUUCCUCAAACUGAUUGAGGCAGACAACUGGGGGUCAGGAUUAUUACAGCUAUUCUAAGGUAAGGCUUUCCUGUUACAUGUAAAAGACCUGAAUCUCGGGUAACACAUCUUUUGACAGUAACAUCUUAAAGCAUUUUUCUCCUAACUUCUUUUUAUUUUCCUUUUCACUACAUUCCUUACUUUAAAUGGAUUUUUUUUUUUCUGAAAUUACAUAUUGCCACAGUGGAUUUUGCUGUUAUUUUUUCAGUCCUAUAGAUAACUGAUUUUACUUGCAUUAUGACCAUAAUUGCAAGAUGGUUCUUUAAUAUGGAAAUUAAAGUAGGUUUAGUGUUCUUAGCACUGAAUUAAACUUGUUCCUUCUUUCAUAGGUUUUCUAACUAGCUGCUGCUUCUCAAAUCGUCCUUUUUACAUUUCAUGGUCACUGUCAACAUUUGGUGUAAUGUUGCAUAGUAAGAUUCUAACCCCUUCUUUUUUCUUUUUGGGCAUGGAAUUAAAAAACAAAGGAAUUUCUUUUUUCCUUUCUGUUUUAUUUAUAUACACUUUCUUUAAUUCAUAGCACCUGCACCUUAGCUGUGCAUUUUACUCAGUCAUUAUUACAAAGUGCAACGCACAAUGUCUGGAGCAUUACAAUCUCUCACAUAUUCUUUUUAAGCCUACUACAGUCGGAACCACUCAUCAUUUGUAAGAUCCCUCCCAUUUAAUGGAAUCUUCAGCUAGACUCCUUCUCCCUUGAAAGGAGAUCAACUGUAAAAAAGAGUCUAACACAAUAUCUGACUUGCUAGCAUCCUAUUCAGUCAGUCACUUACUCAAGCUAAUGUACUGCUGGAAUCAGAAACUGUCAGAUAGUGCUCAAGAAAUGUUUUUACAUUUGUUUUACAUAUUGGUUGACACACUUUCCUGUCUUUUGGCUUGUCAAGAGUCCUGUGUCCCUCAGCUCUGGGGAUACAUCUACCCCAGAGGAUGUACAAGACCUGGAAGCUCUCCCAGUAAUACAUUGUAAAAGAUGUUUUAAAUGGUUUUCAGAGUACAUCAGAAUCACAAUUAUCUGAAGAACAUGGGAAGAACACUGAAUAGAGCUCGAUAAUCGCGUUUACGAGUAACCAAAAUGCCCUGCAUGCCCAUAGAUCUGUGGAAAUAAUUAGUAAUAGAAGCAAUUUACCAUUUAAUUAAUAAAUGACAAGGGGCAAAACCUUGUCUGGGUUCACUGAAUUUGGAUAAUUGAAGCUCCACUGUAUUUUAGAAUCUGAAAUAUUAACCAUUAUUCUGUGUGCUUGAGAUAAUAAUCAUUUAAAAAAUGUGCAAAUAACAGAAUCUAAGUCUAGUUGUACUGUUUCUACAAAGAGUAAGAAUGUCGUAUAAUGCCCUGCAUGCGGGAAAAGUUUGUUGUAUUUGAUUGUUUUUCAAAGUGUCCGGAGUCUGUUUCCCUUAAUGUAUAGAUCUGUGUGAGCUUUGAACCUUUAACUACAUUACAGUGCCAGUGAAGGAUUUCACAGGGCAGUGAAUAACCUCUCACUGAAAGAAGAACGGGUGCAGCAGAACAUCUUGAAACUGGUUCUUAUUUCAGCAGCCCACAAAGCAAGAUUGAUGGAGAUAAAAUUUUGAGAUUGAUGGAGAUGAAUUUUUUUUAAUGAAAUAAGAAUGAGGUAAUAAUUGUGCUCUGUUAGAAAUAUCCAUUCAGAAUGUGCUGUAGCAAGUGGAAGGCUGGGACUGAAGAAAGACAGUCUUGGGCUAUAGUAUAUUCCAAUGGCCUUAACUGUCAUAAACCACUGGUUUGCUACCAAAUACAAGUCAUUGGAAAAGAGUUACAGACUUCUGCUUUCCUCUGCUUUGCCGGUGUCUCUUGCCACCUCACAUGUUUAGUAGCACCUAACUCUGAAGCGUUGUAGCAGUAUGGCUGAAGAACAAGGAUAGAACACCUAAAAGGCAGUAGCUUUAGUAUCAUUCUCAAGCUAUUAAAAUAGCUUUCCUUCUCUCCCUCAUAUUGUUUGUUGUAUUCUAUAUUUUUUAUCUCUCAAGUCUUCUUAAUUCUGGCAUCAUCCAGAGAUAUACUGGACAAGAAAAUAGGUGUGGCCAAAAAUGAGACCUCACAUUUCAAUCUGAAAGUAAGAACAAUGGGUUGAGUCUAAUCUGCAGUUGAGCUAUCUAUUGCUAGUAACCUGUUGCUGGAAACACUCUUUUGUACUCCGAAGACUUACCUUGAUUCAGUUCAGUUUGUACUAUCCUUUUCAAAUAUAUGAUAAUUGUCUGAGAGUAGGCAGUCCUUGCAGAAGCUUAAUCCCAACCCCACCUUGGUGUUUCAUUCACAAGGAAUUGGAGGAAUGUGCAAUUAAACUGCUAUGAAGUCCUAGCUGUGUAGGUUCUGUCUGCUGCUUCCAAAGAGGUAAAAAGAAAAUUGGUCAUUUCAUUCAAGUUUUUAUUGUGCUUGUGUCAGAAGUGCUGCAGAAUUUAGCAUGUACAGAGAUCUCUGCUUUUCAAGGGAUCCAUUAAUGGAAAAACUGGGAGUUUGUUGCAUCAGAAAUGUUGAGUUGGCAGCAUUCAUGGUGGUAAGGGAAGCUUGCUUAUGCAAUGAGCCACAUCCUGCUCUCCUAACUCUGUGAGUAACUCUAUUGAAGUCAAUGGUAAUUACAUCUAUUAAAAUCAGUGGAACUAUUUGCAUCAAUAAGAUAAGUAGGAUUUGGCCCAAAGGUUGUUUAAUAUCAAUGUUUUUAAUCUCUCAUUUUCAUAAAUGCUAUAUUCAUUCAGCAAUAUAAAGUGAGGUGAAUAAAGAACAUUCUGUGCUUUGAAUAGUUUGGCAUCAUAUGCAGACAGGGCAUGUGAUUAAUACCAUAUUGUUGGCUUUGUUCUUUGCUUUUCAGUUGUGGCUGGCAACGUCCUUUUCCUAACUGCUGGUAUCCCCAUGAGCCUAUAUAAUCACUCUCUACCAGUUUUCUACGAUGCCCUUAGAUAUUUUCUGUACUCAAUGCAACAUGUUUCUUUAUUCACUUAUCCUCCCAUCAGAACCUUCAAAUGUUUCUGAUGUACUACUCUGACAUGGUCAGACCUGACAAGGGACAAUGUGUUCACCUGACAAAGUUUCCAACCCAAACACUUUAUCUGUGUUUUCAUGGACACAACCAUCACACUACAAAGUCACGCUUUGUGGUUGUGUCUCUGGGAAAAUCUGCAGAACUGCAGCACACUGCUUCAGUUGGCAGUGUUAGAUAGGAAAUUGUGCUUGCAUUUGAGAUAGUGUACUUUACUUGGCUACCUGAGGCAGAAUUAGAGGUAAAUGAUAAAAAAUCCUGUUCUCUUCAUAGAUGUACAAGGAUAGAUGCUUUGUUGGAAACUGACAGUCUUGAUACCUUCUCCUGAAAAUGGCCAAUUUACGAUGCUAAUACUAAAGUAAAAUUUUGAUUCAUGUAGAAAUGUGACCCAGGAAUCAGAUCACUGAAGUUACCUUCUGGUUUCAGUGUUGUUAAAAUUACAUAAUUAAAGAUACAAGCCUAUUGAAAAGAAAAAAAUCAAAAAAGUUCAGUAGGUAACGUGUAGUCUGUUUCUUUUCCUCCAGUGAACUUCCUGAUAGUAUUUAACUUCUUGGAUGGCCAUUUAUUGUUACCAGGAAACUCCUUUUGUAAGGCAGACCAUAAGGACUGGUGGUUGUCUGUGCUAUUUAGCAUGUGUCAGUGAAGUGAAAGCCAUACCACAGUCAGAAAAGAUUCAUUAAUGUGCCAUGAAAUUCUGCACUGCCUUUUCACAAGAGAUUUCUGUUUUGUUAUGUUCUCACUUAUGUGACAUUCAAGACCAGAUUCUGCUUUCAAAGAGAUUUGAGGUCAUUUGAAUGACAUUAAAGGAUUUUUACUGAUUUAACAGCAGAAUACAUAAUUUAUGACUACAUAUGAAGUCAGAAAUACUGUCAAUAUUAUAAUUGUUACAUAGGUAAAACCUGCAUGCAUUCAUAGUAAUAAUCCAUUUAUUUAUUAGUGUUAAGUUUUCAAAGGAAACUAGAAAAUCCCCCUACAUAUGUAUACUCCAUGGGAGACUCAGUGGAAUUUCCUAUAAUUUGUAAAAAAUCUGACAGGGUUCAGCUCCCUACGUAUACUGCAGGAGUUGAAGGUCCAUAUGUCACUAUGGGUGCAAUCUAGUCUGUUUUCCUGGAUGUCUGAGAUAUCUGCAGGUACUGUGCAGGCAGGGAAGAUAAGGUUUGGAUCAGGAGCUGGGGGAUGUGAUGGAUUCAUCCUUGUGAAGACAGAAUACUCAAGUCUUUGCACAAUGAGGUAUUACAUGAGUUUACAGGUGCUAUAAGUAGUAGCUUCUUAGCAAGUUGUAUCUUGCACUGUUUAUUCAGCUACACUUAUGUUCAUGAUAUACUUCAUAAACAGUUUAUAAAAGCUAAUAUAUGAUCUAUCAAUAUUCUAAGAAUAUUUCUAUAUGGUUAGUACAUAUUAUACAUUUUGUAAGCACAUCACAGAUGGAUCUAUAGGCUACAAACAUCAAUUAGUUUGUUAAACUCAGUCCUUUUUAAAAGUUAGUAAGCUAUUUGUUGAAUCUUUCAUUGAUUACCUUCUAGUCAUGGUAGCAGUAUGAUCACCUGGCCAUGUAAGAAAUUUAAAGGUUCUGAGCUGAGAGUAGAAGAUGGGCAAUUCAAUGCAAAUUCUUCUUAACAAAGAAUUGGACAGAAAUAAUGAAAACUCUUACGAAUUACACUGUUAUUCAAACAUUUCUUCUAAUCAAUUGUUGUAGAGCAUGUCUUUUAGCAAUCAUAUCCAAAAAGAUUCUCACUUGUAUUUACCUGGAGAAAUCUCAAGAAGGCAAAUUAAUUUUAAUCCUGAACAGAUGAAAAUUCAGUAGCACUGAAUUCUAGUUAAAAGCCUGGAAAGAUUGUUAUGCCUGAGAAGACUGUCUUUCAAAAUAAGCAUCUUAUAGACUGGUGAGAAUCCAAAGGGUUCUGAUUCUGUUACAUUUACCCAUUAAUAGUUUUCCCCAUAUUUCUGAAAUUGGAUUUGUGAUCUCAGAAAUAUGAGAACCAAAGGUCAUUAGUGAGAAAUGAAACUGGGUUUUCUUGUGUUCCUGUCCAUUGCUUUGUCAUCCAUAACUAGUUUUAAUUCAAAUUAAAUUCUAGGUAGCUCUAUAUGCAACCAAUUGAAGCCAUCUAGAUUUAGGUUUUCUAGCUAAGAUUUCUAGUUUCUAGGCUUUGAAGCCUGAACAGAAUGACUAUUGCUUCAUUUCUUUCUGUGCUGAAAUUACUCUGACUUUACUGUGACUUUCUCUAGUUGUUGGAUUUUGGAUUUUGUUUGUUUGUGUUGUGUGUUUUUUUUUUUUUAAUACCAAACAAAGGGAAAGAAUGAAACAAUAUUUAAGAAUUUUAUUUCUAUUUUAUUUUAGCUUGUAAAUAACCACAUUUCAGAAUUUAGAAUGAGGGUAGGUAAAAGAACCUUCAUAUUAUUAAUUAAUUAAUUAUUAUUAAUGAUAUAAGUCAGUUGGGUAGGAUCCCUUCAUUCAUGCAUUAGUUUCAGAAGAGUCUGUUAGCCUAGAAAAAUGUAUAUGGUUGAAUGGCACAGAAGAUCAUUAUUUCUUUCCCAGAUUUAUUUCCACUAGAUGGAUGAAGGAGUGGUUAGGCUUUGUUGAAAUGCAGAAUGAAGAUUAGAUUUCAGUAAUGUUGAGGAAGGUGACAUGUCAAGAUAGGAAGAACUGAUCAUGUAUAUCUCAUGGUAACCCAACUAUCUGUCUCCAGCAGUUUUCAUAAACAAAGUACAUGAUAAAGGGUGUGACUUUAAUUCCUCACAGUAUGUUUUUGUGCAUACUGAAUCUUCUACCUGUUAAUUUUACAGGACUUAAAGGCAAGCUUUUUUUGUCUGAGCAAGACCAAGUCAAAUAAAGCUGUACAUGGGGAAAUAUUUCAGUACGUUUUGACGUAACUCCUAAAUUAAUAUCUGAUAACAAAAUUUGAUAGAACUGUUGAGGUUGGAAGGGAUCAUUGCUGAUUAUUUAUUCUAGUUCUCCUGCUCGAAGCAGCAUCACAAAGAUCACGUUGCUCAGUGCUUGUCUAAAUAUGUUCUGAAUAUCUCUGAGGAUGGAGACUCCACAGUCUCUUUGAGCAGCUGUCCAGUAUUUGACUAUCCUAACAGUCAAAAGCUUUUUCUUGUAUUCAAAGCAAAUUUCUUGCAUUUCAAUUUGUGUCUGUCUUCUGUUGUCCCUUCUCUGGGGAGCAUGGAGAAGAGCCUUGCUUUCCGUUUCCCACAUCAGGUUUUUUCUACAUGAGUAUGGUUCCCUUUCAGUCUUUAAGAUAAUUCCUCAAGAUUAUUAUCCACAAAAUCCUUUCUCCGUGUUUUUUCAGUGCUUAUUGCAGGGACAAAGAUACUUUUUCAUCAUUGUGAAAGGAGCAAGUGAUUUGUAACAUUUCUCCAGGUAAGCUGAGAUGAUCAUUUUAAGUUAAUAGUGAUAUAAUUAGUUUCCUAAGGUUUUUGCUAGCAUUCCAUUUGUUGAUGUCUUUCAUUAUUUUUGUGAAGAUGAUCCACGGAGCUAAACAUUUAUUUUUCCUUUUAUUUCAAGAACCUUUUUCUGCUGGUUUCCAAAGAGGAAUAAGGCUGUUUUCUGUGUUCAAAGAAUCACAGAAAUAUUUGAACGUAAUAAAAAACCUAGAAGCUCCUGAAAAGAUACAUCAAACUCAGUGCUAAAGCCCUGUAGCAUUGCCAUUUGGGAAGGCCCUUUAUAAAAUUUUGAAAUUCAUCUGUUGAUAUUUCAGUUUCAAGGGCUUAUUUUGCCCUUAAAUCAUUUGUAGUAUGUGGGGGUUUGAAAAAGAAAGAAGGAACUCUGUGCUGUGCUAAGCCAGGGAGGCAUUCCUGCAGCCUUCAAAUUUUAGAACAACUUUAAAGUUUUUCUUACUGAAUUUUCUAAGUCACAGUUCUACUCUUCUGCAGUGGUUAUGGGUUAAAUUGUUGAGAUAUUGUUGUAAUGGCACAUUUCAGAAAGCAUGCUGCCUACUCUUUUUCCAUCUUUUAUUUGGUGUUGGCUGUAUAGGAGAUCUUCUUUUGUGCAGAGAGAUGAUAAUGGUACCAGUUUGUAGUUGUAUAUCUUCCAUUUCAGUUUUUGUUUGUUAGAAAGCGCUAUUGAUUAGUUGUUGUCGAUGAGCUUUCAGCCUCUUCUAAGAUGAGUCUCUCGUCAGACUUGGUCGGUUUGCAGUAUGCAUGUCAUUCUUUGAGUUUGUCCCACAGGACAAAAUAAUUCAAUUUUAUAGCUUUCCUUACUGUUUGCCCAUUGAGAAAUCAAACAAUUAUUUUCUUUUCUUAAUCUUCAGAUAAGCAUUGAUGGUCUCUGAAAUUCUGAUUCUACUUGUUAGCGCAUGGCUUAUGUGUCUUGCUUCAAGUCUCAACAUGUUUAGGGCAGCUUCAGCUUUGUUGAGAUUAGUCAGGAAACAUGUAUUUACCACUUUGUCUUAGGUGGUUUCAGACAUCAACUAAAGCUUAGUAUGUGCAUAGAUUUUACACUAAAUAAUUGUUCUUAUUAAAUAGAUUGAUGUUUUUAAUGGAGUAAUUAUACUAGAUCAACUUCAUGCAUGGAUAUAGUUAUACUAAUAUAAGAUUGAGUUAUACACCCAUGCAGUUGCAAGAGCAUAAAACAACAUGACUGUUUUCUUGAGGCAAGGAUAGGGCUUAAGUUUUUAAAUUUUAAUUUAUUUGAAAGUAAAGGGUUACUUUAUCUAGUUUGAAUUUUAACAUACCAUUAAAUCUUCUCCAAGAAAUUAUGCAGUAUAUUAGUAAAUCUAAUAGAAGGAGUCCUAAGAAGGGAUAGAUGUAUGUCAGAUAUUAAGAUAGUUCGGCAGACAAUGUGCCAAGAAUUGAGAGGUAUUUAUGUGUUCACAUAACUGUUUCCUUCAAGCAGUAUAAGAUGUAUUAGGUGUUUGUCCCAGCAUAUAUUUUCUCAGUGCAUUGUACAUGGAGGAAGGUAGAUGCAUUUCUUCUACUCUGGUGACAUUCGCUCUCUUUGUCACAAGAAGGAGGGAUUUUGCAUUAAACAGAUCCCUUUUAUGUUCUACCUACAGAAUUUCAAAGAAUGCUGAACAAAUGAGGUAGGAGUAUAUACUUUUGUGCAUCAAAGAAAUGCUUAAGAAGUUUCUUAUAUGUCUAAAGGCACAAUGUAGGGCACAGUUUCUCAAAGAGAAACUAUAUUCUGUAAUCAGUAUGUUGUUACCUCAAUAAUUAAAUAAUACUUUUCACUUUGGAGAUGCUCUUAAACAUGCUAAAACUAUAAAAUAUCCUGCUGAGAAAUAAAAAUGAAUGGACACUGUCAAGAAUAGCAUAAAUGUAGACUCAUUACAGUCAUCACAAGGCUUACUUUUAGCAGUAUGUUAGUAUUUUCUUAAUAGACCCUUCCAGAUUGAGGGAGCCCAGAUAAUACAUAGGUUAACCUAAAAUUCUUUGUUUUCUUUUUCAAAUUGGUAUUUUAUUUCUAGAUACAUAAACUUUUCAAGUACUGUUGAUCUCAUGUUACUCCGUAUGUUGUGCAAUUAAAAAAUUAGCAAGCUAAAAGGAUGAAUGAUUUUUUUUAAAAAAAAAUUAAAAUAGUUGUAUCAGUCAUCAGUGGAUAAGAAGUAACCUUAACAGUGAAGAAAAUAUGAACAGAAUUUUGUUCAAUUGCUGCAGUUGAGUAUACUGAUAAAAAAAUGGGAAUAUGAAGACCAAAAGUAAAUCAAGUGAUGAUGUGUGGAAUAAUUGUCUGCAUAGAAAAUAUAUAUGCGUUAUAUUUAAAUGCCUUCUUGUCUGUAGAUUAUCUUAAAGCCUCUUCAGUUGGACCAUCAAAUAGCAAUUAAGCAUCAAAUUCAUACAGGUCCAGUUUCUCAGGAUGUUGAAGUGAAUGAAAGAGCAACUAUCCAGAAAUCUUUUAUUUCGGAAGUAGUAUUUCUGUUUUAGAUAGCCAACACAAUCUUGGCAUAAAAGGUCUUUAUAAGAGUGUUUUUUUUCUUCUUGAUUGUGAGUUAAAGGAUAUUUUAGAACUUCUCUGUG